rnacentral:lncRNA from 1 species
GAAAAUUAAAUAUCAUAUACAAAAACAAAUAGAAAAAUUUGUAUCAUACUUUUUUAUCGCAUGUAACGUAAUCUCUGUAAUUCUAAAUGGAGAUUAAAACUUAGUUUGGUAUUGAGUUCUAUCUAACGCUAAAGUAUAUAGGGAUAUACUUCUGUGUUCUCCGGUGGGACCGUAGAAAAUAUAUCGUAACCGACUCAUCGCGAUAUGCAGAACGUAAUAUUAUGUACGAAAAUAAAUAAAGUAUUUUUCCAACGUACUUUCUCACUGUACAUAACGGAAUCUUUCUGUAAUCCCAAACGAAGCCUAAUUUGACUCUCUACGACGUGUAGAAACUUAGAAUAUUUUUAGAAACGAAAAAAUCAUUAUAAUAACUUGUGUUCCCAUUCAUAAGCUAUACUGUACAACAAUGAAUAAAUCCAAAUUUCUACAGAUGCUUUAACUAUAACCCCAUCUCUAUUUAUUUAUUUAAAUAAAUAAGAUACAAUUAUUUAAAAAUGAAUCGAAUAAGUAAUUUAGAAAAAUAAUUUUCAAAAGUUUCUGAUAUUUUAUGGUUCUUUCACUCGCUAAUUGCUGAUAUUUUUCUUAGUCAUUCAGAUUCACUGGUAAUUUAUAAUAAUAAUAUGAGGAAAUUAUGUUUUAAUUGAAAUUUUGACAGUUGAAACACAACUGCAAAAAAAGAAAUAUAAAAGUAUGAACAAAUAAUAGUAGAAAGUAAAAAAGAACAAAAAUCAUUACCAAAAAAUCUUUUAGGUGAAAUGUUAAGUACAUCACCCCAGCUAUGUGCAAUCAAUAAAAUAAUUCUUUUGAGAGAAAAGUACAAUUUUUAUAUAAAUCAUGAUGAGAAGGAUGAAUGGGAGGUAAUUUUAAUUAGUUUUUAGGUUAUAAAUGUAGGAUGUAUCACGGGAGUUCGGUUACUCUAUUUUUUAUGAGUAUAAUUUUUUUUUUAUACUCAUAAAUUUUCGACCACAAAUUUUUUUUUUUCAUAAUUUUUAUUUAUUAGAUUAUACUAUUAAACUAAUUACUUACUCAAUCAUAUGGUACCAGUAUCAUCCAAACUGUCAAUCUCUUUAUUAUCCAAUUUGCAUAAAAAGGUAUUACUUAGAAAUUUCCGCCUUUUACAGUUAUCUUUUUCGCUUAAAAAGCUUGUUUGGGUUUAAGCGAGCGCCGCGCGACACGCACACGCACAAGCACACGGCUCUCUUGUUCCUGUAAACAAUGGGCGAAGCGGCGCAGGUUUGAGUGCUCAUAAGAUGACCUUCUCGCGACGCUCAUGGCGAUAAGCGGGCGCAACGAUCCUCUUCUCUCUACCGCACUUUUCCGUCGCCUCCGAUUCGUUCUCUCUCAACUCCAGGUCCGUUCCCGCCCUCCGCUCUCCGUGUUCCGUGUUCCGUCUCUCUCUCUUUAUUCCGAUCUCUCUGUGGCAUUUCGUCGAACAACUCACCGGUGUGGUAACCACGCAGAGGUGGAGCCACACAUCGGCGGGAGAGAACGAGAGCGCUACUCUCAGGGACUCGGGUUCGAAUCUCCCACCGAAGAAGGGUAAAGUUUCUUCAUUCCUGAAGCUUUUGGUUGAGAAGGUUUCGUUGAAUUAGGAAUAUUUGAUUUCAUUUUGAUGAACGAUCUCUGUGUUUGAUUUACAUGCUGAGUGUUUUAAUUUGUACAUGAAGAAGUUUUCGAGAUCUAUGAAACAAAUUACGAUGACGCGCGUAAAAUUCCUUAUGCCAUACAAAGUAGAUUAGAACAGAGGCAAAUUGUAUUGUUUGGUUCAUUUGGAUUUAGUGCCACAUUACAUCAUCAUAGGGCAAAAUUUGUAUGACCUUUGGAUGCACACUGAGGUUUUAUUUGCUUAUAUUGAAUGUGAUUAUUAACCUCCGGAAAUAGAUUGCAUAAUUUAUGUUAAUCACGUAUGAGUAUAUAGAAAGUGUGUUAGUGUUAAUGAGGCGGAGAAACUAAGAUUAAAAGAAUCUGAAUAUUAUGUUGCGUACUUGCAUUGCAACUUUCACUUUCUCAUCACAACUCUAGAUAUGAUUGUAAGUUGCUUAACAUCUCUGAAUUUUAGGUCCUUUCGAUCCUUCAACUUGGAGGACUAUGGAUUCAAGGACUGUUGGUAUUAACAAGUCGGCAAUAUCUUCUUCCACUUGGACAGUUUUGAAAGUUCUUCAAAAAAAAGGUGCAUAAAAUUUCCCUUUAUAUUUUUCUUUUCCAGGACUACUUUAAUUAAUAUUUCCGCUUGGCCUAUGCGGUUGAUGAUAUUAAGUAACUUGAGGAGUAGAAGCUAGCUAUGUUGCAUAAUUUGAGAAAUGUUACUUUGUUUCUACAACAUUUUUACCGUAUAGUCCAUGUUGUUAACUAAAUGUUUUCUUUAACUUGUUGAUGGUUCGUCGGUGCUUCGGUAUAUGCUUAUCCUGGUUUUUUAUCUGUCAUGCACUGGCUAAACAUAUGCAGUUAGUAUUAAUACUUGUCAACAAUACUUUUCAGUCUUUCAGAUGAAAAAGAAGAAAAAGCACCUUAUUUUUUUUAAAAAAAAUACCAGAUUGAACUUGGUAUUUCUUUAGCUGAUUUAGAGUAAACUGUAAAUAGAUCCUUGCGUUGUUUUUUCCUGCUAUUUGAUAAGGGUGCAAUUUUUUUUGACAAUUAUUCUACGCAGGUUUCGAAGCCUAUCUUGUUGGUGGAUGUGUAAGGGACUUGCUUUUAAAGAGAACACCAAAGGAUUUUGAUGUGAUCACCACUGCUAGUCUUAAACAGGUUCCAAAUUCCACACUUAUCUAUACAUCCAUUUGGAGACAUUUUUGGGAAAUGUUUCUGACUAGUGAAUAUUCAUUGUUAUUGACAUGAUACUGCUACCAUUGCAGAUUAGGAAACAAUUUCAUCAUUGUAGAGUUAUAGGACGUCGCUUCCCAAUAUGCCAGGUUCAAGUUUUAGGCUCCAUAAUUGAGGUUUAUCUAAUUUGGCAACUAUGCUUAUUGGAUCAGAUUUCCUUCUGCUUUUGUUGUAUGAUAACCGACCUUGAUUCAGUUACUACUUUCUCUUGGCACUAGGUUUCAAGCUUUAGCACCAUCAAUAAGAGCAACAAAGAAAGGCAACAAGUUGUUUUAUCUGAAAUAUCAGAUAAUUGUGAUGAGAAAGACAUUCUUCGCUGGAAGAAUUGUAUGGAACGAGAUUUUACUAUUAAUGGGUAAAUUUCUGAUGUGCUGGAUCGUUUUCAAUGGAAAGUUCAGAGAUGCUUAGUUCAUUUGUUGCACUUCCUUUUAUUUCCUUUUAGUUGGGAUUCAGCUGACCUAUUCUAAUAUCAUCUCUUUUGGGCAACAGUCUGUUCUUUGAUCCCUUUGAUUCUACCAUCUAUGAUUAUGUGAAUGGAAUAAGGGACAUAAAGGCAUCAAAGGUACCUGUUUAUGCAUGUUAUUGUUAUAUCUUCCUGCAUUUAGCAGUCACUAUACAAAUGCUUUGCCGCUAUUUUGAUUGUGAACUUGUAUAAGCAGGUGUGCACUGUAAUUCCAGCUCAUAUAUCAUUCAAAGAAGAUUGUGGUAGGAAUUCAUUCCAUGCAACUGCUUUCAUAGUUGUCGUUCUUAAUGGUUCAGACCAAGGUGAUAGUUAAUAUGCCUUUUGACCAAGGUCUUAUUAUUAAAUCAAUCACAGCUAGAAUUUUGCGUGGCUUGAGAAUUGUUGCUCGCCUUGGUUUUCGAUUUUCUAAGGAAACUGCAACUGCAAUACGGGAUCUUUCUUCAUCCGUAAUAACCCUCGAGAAGGUAUUUGCAGUUUUGGCACAUGUGAGCAUGCCCGUCAUCUUUAUCCUGUUUGUCCUAACAAAUGUAUUUUUGUUCCUUGCUGUUUAGUCAAGGCUGCUGAUGGAACUAAACUUUAUGCUGGCUUAUGGAGCAGCUGAAUCCUCUAUAUAUUUGCUUCAGAAAUAUCAACUCCUUCAGGUGUUGCUCCCUUUUCAUGUAAGUAUGCUCUGCUAGUUUCUUUGUGUUAGUCAUUUUGAUUGUAGUUGCUUGAAGCCUUGAAGCUUUCUCUCAUAAUUGUUCUACUAAAAUCUGAGUUGAACUUCAGGGCGCAUACCUGGCACAUCAGACCGAAGACAAAUCCACUGAAAGGACUAAUAUGCUCAUGGUGAGAAGCUAAUUCUUGUGAAUAUGUUGGUGAUUAUGCCGGUCCUUCUCUUCUAAUUUGUGGCUUCUUUAAGUAAAAAAAAAUCAGUUAUAUCCUGUUGGUUGCCUGCAAUUCUGCAGUGUACUGGUAAUAAUGACAUUACUUUUAUCUUACUAAAUUGAUGACCAUUUGCUGAAGCUGGCAUGAUUACUAACAAUAUAUGUUGCUUAUAGAUUGUCGUUUCUUGUAUUUCACUUUGAUUCCUAAUUUCCUAUACUUCUUCUUUAUAAUUGUGGUCAACAUAUUUAUAAUGGCUAUCUGAUUCUGUGAAUUUUUUACAUUCUACAGAAGUUAUUUUCAAAUGUUGAUAAACUAUUUGCUGCUGACCGUCCAUGUGACUGCACCUUAUGGUGAGGAACUGUAUAUUAAUCAUUGUCAAUUUGCAAUUCUAUCACUUAUUGACUGAUCAAAACUUUCAAUGCCUUGAACAGGCUAGGACUGUUGGCCUUUCAUCUGACGCUGGUAAAUCACCCUCAAGAUGCUCCCGUAGUUUGGGCUUUUGCCUCUAUUAUGUAUUAUGGAAGAUGGACUAGAGCCAUAGAGUUUGUAAGACAAAAUGUUCAGUGUGCGGUUCAGUUUGUUCCUGAAAUUCUACUGCCGGCUGAAACCAAGUCUGACGAGCUACUUCUAGAAGAAACAUCACAUUUUGCAUCUUUGGUUAAGUCUUCUGUUGAUGCUUUUACCUGCAUAGACGCUCUUCAGAAGUCAUUGGCUAGAUAUCCAGAGUCUUCUCCAUGUUUAGGACUGGUAAGUAUAUAUAAUCUCUGUUAAAUCUCAGCUCAUAACUACUGUUUUCUAAAGACCUUAACUAUUCCUCUUUACAAUGCUGCUAUGGUUUUCUUUGAUAUUUUCAGUCUCUUUUUCACUCCCGUGGAACACACAUAAUAUUUAGAAUUGCAGGUCAUUGUGUCUGAGAAGAUGGGAAAAAGUGUGUCCAAACUUUUUGAUGGGCUGGAGACUGAUAUAACAUCUUAUGGUAAGAAAAGAGAAACAUAUGACAUUAACUACGCUCUGCUCAAAAAGGGGGAUCCUGAUGAAACCAGAUUUGCUAUGGGAAAAAUCAUUAUGGAUACAAUGAAUGAUGGGCUAAGUAACAGAGAAACUAGUAGUGGAAUUUCCACGCAUAGAGGCCAUGUUCCACUGUCUUCAUUAUUUAAGUAGAGAAGAUCUCACAUAUUUGGGGAAAUUUCUGGAGCUAGUUUGGGCUUUGCUAAGGGGUGUUGAGAUUAACUUGCAGAAGUUAGAGAAGGUCGGGAUUAACCGUGCUUGCUCUCGAAUAUCAUUCAUCACCAGUUUUCAAGUAAGUUAGAGAUUGUGUGGAGCUGCUCAUAGGUUUCGCGAGAAGCAUCCGAUUAAACUGCAUUAAUUGUAAGUUAAUGCAUAACAUGUGAGGACUAACUGAAAGAGUAGUUUAUUUAGUCGUACACUGAAUUGCUAGUUAUCAACAUCUAGUAUUCUGUAUAUCGUGUUGUAGCCUCACUUACAGCAUUGAAGAAUGUAUAAUCAAGAUCCUGGCUAAUCAAAAUUCUUUGCAGUUGUAUGACUAAUAAACUCUUUAAUUUUUCAUUGUUCUAAUUGAUAGAUACAUUUGGAACACAACUUGUUUGAAGUUAAAUUUAAGUGUACUCAAACUGUACUAAUAAAGUAUAUUUUAUAUAUAUAUAUUAUUUCAACAAGUUGUUACGAUUUUUUAUUUUUGGUGGAGGGAAGUAAGUGACAUCAUUAUCAUUGUGCUUAGUUGGCCAGCCUUAUAUGCUCCUGAAAAAUAGCCACACGUGCAUUUGAUACAAUUUAGGAUGUAAAAAAAUUCCUUUCAAUCAAUUUGCUCUCUUAGGAUCUUAGGACUUCUUUUAUUAUUAUUAUUAUUAUUAUUUUUCCAAUCACGCAGAUAUCUCAGGAUGUAGGAUCAUUUUCUUCCAUGUAAGUUUUGCCGACCCUUCACUCUCGAUUUAGAAUUUACUCUUGAAGGAUAACAAUAUUUAUAUUGCUACAAUCUACAUUUACAGGAAAUUUCCAACUCCGUUUCUUUCCUUGUUUUCUUUCUAAAAUUUAUGAACUUCCUUCGCGCACGUUGUGCACCUCCAUGGAAGAGCCAAACUUAUGGAUAUCUCCAAAUAUACCCGAGAGAAUUCACUAAUUACACUUUUUAAGUUACUUUAUGAGAUACCCUUGCAAAUUCGCACAAGUCACAUAUUAGUAAGCUCCAUGAUCCCUGAGGCAUCACCCAUUAUCGCCUUUAAAAGCGUUAAGAUCAUCUUGUAAACCAAAGCACGGUACCCAAUUCAAAACAUGCCAGAAUGCAUUUAACCAGUCAGAUUUCAAAUCUUACAAAAAUCAACUCAACAAUCAAACUUUGUUUUUUUUUAUUUUUAUUUUUAUUUUUAUUUUCGCGCCCCUCCUUCAAGGCCCUGACUGUCUCACCCAUGUAGCUUAAUUCAUAUUGUCAAUGAAUGAAGCAGGUAGCGGGCCACCUUUUCUCAAAAAAAACAAUCGAACUUUGGGGUACCUUAUACAGUAUCCAUUGCCACGGCACAUUUCUCAUUAAUUAAUAAUAACCCUCCAACAUCAAUUGGUACACCUCAUCCUGGGACGUCCAACGUUAAGAUCGUUCAAAUCAAAUCAAACCAUGCUUACCCAUCGGUCAAAUUCUGGACAGAGCGCCAGUAAAGCAGGAGGGUCUUCACUUGCUAUUAUUAUUUUACUCCUAAUCAACUCCAAAGGACCAAAACCAAGGAGCAUUUUUUUUUUUUAAUUUUAUUUUUACACUUGUGUGUACGUGGCUAGGAAAUACCCAACACUUUCACCUUGGACCCAAUUUAAAGAUGGUGCUCCUAAUUAUUGGAGUCUAAGUCGUGGUCCUUCUUUUGAGUGCCAAGGGAUUUAUUUCAAUUUAUUUUAUUUUAUUUUAUUUUAUUUUAAUUACUGUGAAGUUGUCUCAGCACUUUAAAUUUCAGCUCCGGCAAUCGCACUCUACCAUCUGCCGGCUGUCAGAACGGAUCAAAAUUAUGGUCCCGACCAAAAAAAUUAUUGCAUGCAUGCGGUGUAUUUUUACACUUCAUACACCAUGGUUAAUAUCUCAUUAUAUAUAUAUAUAUAGAAUUCGGCUACUAUAUACUCUUAGGAGUACGAUCACCCUCAUACUCAUAAAUCGUUUUCGAUGAUAGAGCUUUCGAAUCGACGAUCCAUACCGUUAAAUAUUAUCUAGAGCAUUUAAAACUUUUAAAAAUUAAAUUUUAUAAUUUUUUGACAUCAUUUACCUUACGAUCAAAAGCUCACAAAAUUGACACUUUUUAACAGUCGGUAUGAGAUAUUUGGUAGUUUAACGGUGUAAAAGAAUCGGAAUUGGUUGAAUUUUUGAUAGAAAAUUUUAUUCAUUACCUAGAAAAAGAUCGAUAACUCUGAUUUUAAAUAGAAAGAUCCGAUCAUCCAUUUUUAGGAUGUCAUUCGAUUUCGACCGUUCAUUUUAUACCCACUUGAUGGAUUUUAUUAUGAUUUCGAAAAAUUACGAAAUUUAUUUUUUAAAAGUUUCGAAUACUCUAUAUCAUAUUUAACGGUGUGGAUCGUCGAUUCGAAAAUCCCAACAUCGAAAACAACUUAUGAGUACAAAGGACUCUAUACUCAUAAAAGUAUAGUAGCCAUACUCUCUCUCUCUCUCUCUCUCUCUCUCUCUCUCUCUUUCUCUCUCUCUCUCUCUCUCUAUAUAUAUAGAGUCCAGCUACUAUGUUAUUAAUAGCACGAAGCAUUUGGUGCUACCAAGUUUUUCACCGUUAAAUCUACCAUUUUGAUCAUUUUCAUCCGUUAGAUCAUAUUAUUCAACCAACCACCCACUCAACCCUAGGGGGCUCACAUCAUCCUAACCGCACAUCUUUUAAUCCAAUGGCCAAAAACAUGUAUAUAUGUUGAAGAAAUUCGCAUGAUAUUUGAUGAUUUGUGCUUUAACGUUAAUGUUUAGAUGUUAGAUGUGAUUUAUAAUAUUUUAAAAAAUCUCUUGAUAUAAAAUUUAAAUAUUUUAUUAUCUAGAUAUUACAUAGCUUUAAAAUCAUUAUUAUAGAGACGUACAUGUUUCCUUUUAUGAAAAAUAAAAAGUAUUAUUAAUAGAUUGAUGUCUGCAUUUUGUAAAUGACAUAUCUCAUCCAGUAGAUAUAGUGAAAUUCAAUUAGCAAUACAUGAAUAUUUAAAAUUAUCUAGCCCUUUAUCUAUUUCAUGCGUAAGAAAUAAAUAUUCUCAAUUUAUGACUAACAUUUACAUCUUUUAAUUAAUAAAUUCUAAUUUCAGAGAUUGGAAUUAAGAGGUGUGGUAUAUAACAUCUUCAUAUGCUCUACGCUGCACGGAAUAAUAAUUUCAAGUUCCAACUGGUGGAGCGAUUGGUUAAAGAACGAUUGGAAUGAAUCCAACUGUCAUGUGUCGAGCAGAAAGAUCACGAAUAAUCGUGAAAAAGUAAUUAAAAGAAGUGAAAAACAUUAACACAAUAAUAACACCCCCGUAAUAAAUAAAUAAUAAUAACUACAAAUAUUAGAUAUAUAUAUUCAUAAUGUAUGACUCUAAUAUUUACAUCUUUUAAUUAAUAAAAUUCUAAUUUUGAGAGAUUGGAAUUUAGGGGUGUGGUACAUUGCAUCUUCAUAUGCACCCGGUGCACGGAAUACUAGUUGUACGUUCUGAGCGGUGGGCUAUUAAAAGUACGGUAAGGAUGAAUUCAAUUGCCACGUGUCAAGUAGAAAGGUCACGACUCUUCGUUGGAAAGUAAUUAAAAGAAGUGGAAAACCUUUGAUAAUAAUAAUAACACACCCCAAUAAUAAAUAAAUAAAUAUUAAUAACUACGAAUAUUUUAAUAAAUGGGGGAGUGGUGCGAGUACGAACUCAAAAAUUUGAACGCACAUGGUGUGGGGGAGUAACCGUUAGGAAACCACGCGGACCGAGUUGGCCCCACACACCUUUUCCAGCUGAGAGAUCCAACGGCUACCAUUCACUAGCCGUUGGAUUUAAAAUUCGUCGGAGUGAGAUAAAAUCACGAGGCGUGGGUGAAACAACGCAUCUACGGACACAAACCCGAUUUUCUCGCCCCUCCCUUUUUUCCUUCGUAAAAAUCUCUCCUUUAAAAAAAAAAAAGAAAAGAAAUUUCGGGGCGCUUGUUGUCUCUACUCUCUCUCUCUCUCUCUCUCUCUCUCCCAAAUCCCGAAGAGGAGAGAGAGUGUGGGAGCGGGGUCGAGAGUGUGCGAGACGCAGAAGAGGACGUGAUAAAACCCCGGUGAAGGGUCCUCCAAAUGGGGAUCGUCUUGCCCUAGCGCGCCCCCCUCGCUCGGUUUGAUCGAAUCCCGGAGGGGGAUCUGAGGACGAUCGCGUUGGAGCGAGAGCGCGAAGGUUCCGAUUCGUUUCCUCAUUGCUUCUUUUGAUUUGGGAUUUUGAUCACGGAGCUUGAUGGUGUUGAGAUUUUGGGAUUUGGAUUUGGGGUUUGAGGGCUUUGGUGUGGUUUCUUGGAUGGGUUCCUUUUAUUUGGUGCGUGGAAUCCUUGUGAAUUGCGAGUUGUUUUGUGGCAGGUGAUUGGAGAUGGAAGGAGUUGAUGAGAACAAUCGGAUUGUGACGAAACCCUCGAUUUUUCGAGGCAAUGGUUAGUGGGUUUUGGGUAAUCAAAGCAAGAAGUUGCUAAGCAUGAAUCUUAAGCUCUAAAAUUUUAAUUGUUUUUUUCUAAAUCUUUUUCCUUUCUUUUCUUGUUGAUUGCAGAGAUGGGGAAUCGUAGAGCUUUGAGGGAUAUAAGAAAUUUGAUGGGAGCUCCCCCCUAUCCCUGUGCGGUUAGCAAGAGGCCAUUGUCAGAGUAAUGUAUCUUAUCUUUUGAUCUAUCAAUUGACCAAGAACUAAUGUAGCUUUUGCUAGCUCUUACAAUCCUUUUUUCUUGGGGGGUUCUUUUGUUUUGUUUUUUAUUUUAGAAAGAAUGGCAUAGAUGAUCAGAAACCGACCUUCGCAGGCCGACGGCCCAUGACAAGGUCAGGGACGAACUAUUUCUCUGUUUCUCUUUCUUUAACUUUUUCCACAAUUUUUGCUGAUGGGUUUUCCUCUUUUAGGAGAUUUGCUGCUUCUUUAGCAAGCAGAUCACAGCAUUCUCAUCAGGUGAUUCUUAGACCACAAAAAAAAAAAAGAAAAAAAGAGAUUACCCGUUAACUCAUCGCCUAUUUGCUUUGAAAAGUGAUCUACUUUUUCGGCUCUUCCGUUUAGUGGUUUUUGUAUCUCGCGUAGGAAGCUAGUGAAACAAGUGAGGAGUACAUCAUUGGCCGGCACAAGAAACCCAAUCUAUCAACUUUAAAUCCAUGCAGUUCUGAUACUUCUUUGGCUAUAGAAGUGGAUGAUUAUACAGCUGCUAAUGACUUAACAUUGCCAAUGGUUGAGGAAAUCGAAGAAAUGGUUUGAUUUUAUUGACUGUUAUUGCAUUUCUUCGCAAGAAGCCUUUUAGUCUUGGGAUGAAUAUGUCUUGCUUACUUUGCAUUCUAAUUUUAUAGGGCAACUGUGAUCUCAAGGAAGUUGAAAUGGAGGAUCUUGUUGAGGAGCCUAUUCCUGAUAUUGACGGUUUUGACUCCAGUAAUCCACUUGCGGCUGUUGAUUAUGUUGAGGAGAUAUACAGCUUCUACAAACGAACUGAGGUAGAGCUUGACUCUUCGGAUUAGAUCUUAACAAAUUGAAGUUGGCAAUAAUGAAGUUAUAAUCCUAGAUUAAGAAUCCUAACUCUGAUUCCAGUAAGCAACUGUCAAAGUAAAUUAAAAUCACCUCUGCUUUUGAGGCACAUUGAUGCAGAAAAUUCCCAGAAAGAAUUCAAAUUGUACAAGGAAUAGAUGAAAAAGGAUAUAAUAUCUUGGUUUCAGGCAAAGAAGCCUUUUCACUCAAAGAACAGCUACGAUGAGCAAAUGAUCAUAUGUCAACAUGACAUUGAUGAUAAAUAGUCUCUAUCAAGAGCAAUCUAAUUGGUGCAGAGUUAGUAUUUUCUGACUGAUACGGAGUAUUCGUUAAUUUGCUUACUAUUAAAUAAAACCAACUACUGUACAUUCUUCAGUUGAACUUUAGAAGCAACCUAUUGGCAUAGUUGAAGUCCAAUGUGACGUAACAUGUCUAUGUUAGGCAUGUUAACUUCUAAGGCCGUCAAUUUAUUGAUUAAUUAUAACUGUAAUUGAUGGUGCUUUCCAGUUUAAUGUAAACAAUCUUCAAUUUGAUCUUUUGUACGGAUAUCAUCAGUAAUGUGCAUAUCAUAACCUCUUCUCUAGAAAGUAUUUAGGAAGUAUGCUAGAAGUAUUCGUUUCUUGUAUUAUCUCAUGAAUAGGCAAAAUAACUGAAGUAUCGAUGCACCUCUGUGGAGCAAUUUAAAACAGUUUUGUAUAACAUAUAUCUAAAAAAGAUUGCAACAACCAAAAUUUAGUUCAGAAACAUAGCCACCAUUGAUCUACUUAGUAACCAACCUCGAAAUACAGAACACAAUCAGAAUUUUGAUACACUUAAUCAAUAAGCUUAAACUCAUGCAGGUUGCCGGCUGUGCCCACCUCGAUUAUAUGUCCAAUCAGUUUGACAUUAAUGAAAAGAUGCGGGCUAUUCUCAUUGACUGGCUGAUAGAGGUAAAGAAAACUUACUAACCUAGCUCAUUUUCCACAAGCAUAUCUUCCCAUUACUACUCCCGGUCAUGGAACUUCUAAGUAGUUUGUAUAAUUUUCUUUGACAGGUGCAUUACAAAUUUGAGCUAAUGGAUGAGACUCUUUUUCUCACCGUCAAUAUUAUAGACAGAUUCUUAUCAAGGCAGACAGUGAUAAGGAAAAAGCUUCAGCUGGUGGGAGUUACAGCCAUGCUUCUUGCUUGCAAGUAUGAGGAAGUAUCUGUUCCAGUUGUUGAGGAUCUGAUUCUAAUUUCUGACCGAGCUUACACGAGGCAUGAAGUCCUAGAAAUGGUAAUAACCUUGAAGACAUACAUAUGUAUAUCCUGUAAGACCUUGUAUAUCCCGUAAGACCUUGUAUGUGCUUCAUAUGGUUUAUAACUUUUUGGUCUAUAGGGUGCAUAGACUGAAAUUUCUCCUACACUUCUUUGCCAAUAUCAGUAAUGUUCAUAUUAGAGUUUGCUUAUGUGCAAUGAAAUCCAGAGUUUACGGACCUGAAUUUUACAAACAGACCUAAAUUUUAGAAAUGAAAAUUUCAGACUGAGUUGAAUCUGCCACUAGAGCAAUUCACCCAAUUAAAAAUCUUUCUACUUCAUGCUGACUCUAUGCAUCUACUUGAGCAGGAAAGUUUGAUGGUCAACACGUUGCAGUUCAACAUGUCUGUGCCAACACCUUAUGUUUUUAUGAGAAGGUUCCUAAAAGCAGCUCAGUCGGAUAGACAGGUAGACAGCAUUUAGAUGGCUUGUUGGUAAAGAAACAAAUUUUCUAUUAAAUGGCUCUUUUCUGAUUGACGUACGUAUUCCUUAUGAAAUGAGUUAGCUGGAGCUUCUCUCCUUUUUCAUCAUCGAGCUUUGUUUGGUUGAAUAUCAAAUGCUCAAGUACCGUCCCUCUUUGCUUGCUGCUGCGGCAAUUUACACUGCUCAGUGCUCUCUCAAAGGGUUCAAGCUUUGGACAAGAAUUAGUGAGCUACAUACCAGCUAUUCCGAGGAGCAGCUUCUGUGAGUUCUUACAUGUUCCUUAUAUAAGUGCCAUUUGGCCUAGCUUCUAGAUUAACUUUCCUAUUCCAGAAAAGCAGAAGCUUUUAGAAACAAGUGUCUCUUAACAAAUAGGCUGGAGCAAAAGCUUUUGCUCCUGUGUAAGCUAAUACAGGCUUUUGUCCUUCAGAAACAGAAGUUCCAAGUUGAAGCUACGGCUUCUGCUUCGAGGGGCUUUACUUAAACAGCACUUAUGCAGAAACUUCGGGCUAAACAAGUCCUAAUUUCUUUGCAGUCUCUAUCGUCAGUGGUGAUUUCGAUCCAUUUUGUUAAAUUCGUGACUAUGCGUUUGUUUUCUUUUCUUGACUUGUGUUGUGCAGCGAGUGCUCUAGAUUGAUGGUAGAUUUUCAUCGAAAAGCUGGAACUGGCAAGCUCACAGGGGUGCACAGGAAAUACAGUACUUUCAAGUUUGGAUGCGCGGCAAAAUCUGAAGCAGCUCUUUUUCUGUUUGAUUCAGGAAUUUAAAACAGACUAAUGGGAGUGACUUGAAUCUAUUUUUCCCUGGAUAGAUUCUAACUUAACAUAAAGGAGGGGGCGUACAUAAUAAGUGAUGCGGGAACUCUGAGGGCUGCAACAGAAGUUGUGGGAACUUGCAACUCAAGUUGCAGAAGUAUGGUCAGUGUUUGUGGGUUGUCAAUUUGGCUUGUUUUAUCAGAUGGAUUUGUGUGUUUUUGACUUUUAACAUUACAUUUGCUUGUUAACAUUGUUCUCGGAAGUCCAUGUUUUCAGAUUUAUGUUGAAAUUGUGUAAAGAAACUAUUGCCAAAGUGAAAAAAUAAUAAAUUUAAAUGGCUUGCAGCGUCUUAAUUGAAGAGAAUCUUUGGCUUUCUUGCUGACCUUUCCCUUGAUUCUUCCAAAUUUGUGAAAAGUAAGUUUACUUUUAAGACUCUGAUAACCAUGGUAGUUGUGAAUAUCAGAGUGAAUGUUGUUUGAAAGUUAUAUGAUUGAUUUUGAAGAUACAUUGGGUAAACGAUUUCCUCCUGGUUAUUGUUUGAUAGAAUUCAGAGCCGGCCACUCCAAUCGUGGUUUACUCCAGAUUGUUUGAAGAAAUCUUUCAUGUGUAGAGAGACAGUUUACCCAAAAUUUUGCUCUUGUUCUUAAGAAAUUUCAAAUUCAGAUCAUUUUUUUUUCCCCAAAUGAGCAUUUCGAAAUGACCCAUUAUUCUGGGUUCUUUUACAUUUUACCUAAUGUUUCUGCAGGUAAGAGAUUACUUAUUGGUCUGGUAAAAAUCUCAAAAUCAUUUUCUCGUCUUAUAUUGAAAUUUUGAGAGAAUAAUUUUUAUAUUUUUUUACAUUAGAACUUGGUUUACACCUAUUUUCCUCUCUGUUGCUUUGAUGAUAGGAUGACUACGCGGAGACUCCAACUAAUAUUCGUAAGAAUAUGCUACUUUACAAUCCCAUCAAUAUCAUGCACAUCAAUCGACUCGAUAUAGUAAUGUUACUUUUGCUAACCUCCACUGUUUAGGACGAAGGUGACGAAUCCAGAUAUUGUAUGGAUGUUUCCGCUCUAUUCAGGCUACAGGAAUCUAGCCUCUGUUCUUUCUCCCAAACCCUGGUCCACCCCUGAUUCUUUUUUGUUUGGUGAGUUUUUGGGUACAUGGAAAUUUUAUGCACAUUGUCGAAUAAAUUGUUAUAUACAAUUUAUGCUAACAAUUUAUUAGAUCAACUUCUUGUGUACAUAAAUUUUUUGGCACCUUGUAUGCUAACAACUCUAUCCGUUUUUUCUAAAUCUAUUCGAAUGGACUUGGUUUACCAUUUAUCGAAGAUUUAGCUUAAUUAUAGAAUAGAAGGAAAAAAAUUUCUGUUGAUAAAAUUAACAACAAUCCUAUCUCGUCCACAAGUUGGACGUAUAUCGUGAUGUCACACUCCACUAAAUUGCGUACCGGGUUCCGUAAUCGCCCAUUAUGCAUACGCAUUCGCGUCCGCAUAAUAAUAGCAAUAAAUAAAUAAAACAAAAACAAACCCUGUUGCACCUCGCCGUUGUCUUCUUCUCUGCCGCGGGCCCCGCGAAUCAGAAGGCGGAGAUUCGCCGUGGAAAAUCGAACGGUCCAUGUUGCACCGCCUGGGGGAUCCCACAUUCGGAGGGGCGGAAUCGUGAUUAUCUCAAACUUUACGGGCCUUUGCACGGAGCAGCUCGUCCGGACGUUUUCAGUUCCCCGCGACCGCUCUUUUUUCUCCCUCGUCGCCUCGUCGGUUACUCUUGCGGGGCCGAGUCCGGGCGGCGAGCGACGAGUUCGAAUCGGCUCUAUCUCUCCACCCCACUCCGCCGCUUCCCCUCUCCGUCCCUUCAAAACCCUAGAGAGGUCGGGAGAACGAAACCCUAACCCUAAUUUUGCGAUCCUUGUUGUUGCUUCUUCUUCUUCUUCUUCUUCUUCUUCUUCCAUGAGUUCUUGUGGAUGCGUCGUUCUUCAGGAGGUGGAGAGGGAGAAGGCGAAUUCGAUGCCUAGGGUUUCGUAUUCUUCGUCGUCUCCAGCGGACGCUGCUAGUAGUAGCAUCAGUAGUCUCCGCUUGGGGCUUAGGAAGUGCCCCUCCGAGAGCAUCUUCCCCAUCUACGCGAUGGAGAAUGCGCGCCCCAACUCGAUGUCGAGGGCGAUCCUCGACUCCGCGGGAGAUCCCAUAUGGGAGGCCGUGAGGGUCGAAGCCAAGUCCGAGGUCGUAACUAUUCCUUUCUUAUAUCUUUUAAUUUAAUCUUUGGUUUAUUUUAAUAGGACGGUGUAUAUUAAUUACCCUUUUAGGAGAAAAGACCCAAUAUGGAUUUCAUUUUCAAGGUUUGGUAUUUAUGACUGGGUCUUGAUGGUUACUUCAGUUACUCUUUAUUGGUCGAGUGGUGAGAGCUCUGUUUAAGUGUAGGGAUUCUUGCUUUUGCUACUUCCUUUUAGUAUUUCUAUUCAAUAUGGUAGAAUUGAUUAAAUGCAAGUAUUGGAAAGGUAAAAGUUUGUACGGUGAUCCCUCGGCUUUGUGCCAUUUUGACAUUGAUCCCCCAGUUUUUCUUUCUUUUUGGUUGACACCUUUCAAUUUUUAACUGUUCAGUUGAGUUUUUUUUUAAGCCUAAUCGAAUUGAGGAUUUUUUUUGCAAUAAUGGGUUUUUUUGGCUAUCAGCUGUUAACAAUCAACAAGAUCUUCCAUUCCAUCAGCUGAAAAAGUGUUUAUAAUAGUUAAGCUUUUACAAAUAAUUCAACAAAGACUCAAAAAUUGAGGCCGUGUCAACAAAAAAAUGUAGCUGAGCAGUUCAUUCAAAAGUUGCUAUUAAUUGAGGGUCCUAUAGGAAAAGAUCAACAGGAAAUUCACUAAUAUCUAGAUAUUCUGUAAUGUUUCCUCUCAUAUUAUAUCUCUUUCUUUUGUUUUUUGCUCGGGUCUUUACCUGCUAAUGAUUUAUAUUGUUGGAAAAUUUUCUCUCUUUCUAUCUAUUAUAUUUGAUGUUGGCUUUUCCUGAGCAGGCAGAGAACGAGCCAAUUUUAAGUAGCUUCUUGUAUGCUAGUGUGCUGUCUCAUGAUUGUUUGGAACGGGCACUAUGUUUUGUACUUGCCAAUAGGCUCCAGAAUCCAACUUUGUUAGCAACCCAGCUGAUGGACAUUUUUGAUGAUGUUAUGAUGAGUGAUACAAAUAUUAGGCGCUCAAUUCGCCUUGAUGCUCAGGUGGUUAAAUGUUCUGCAAAUGUCACCUUCAUCUUUUUUUUAAUUUUUUUUUAAAUUUUUACUGAGAGAAUACAGAUGGGUCUUAUUGGUACCAUUGAUUUACUUUUACAGGCAUUCAAAGAUAGGGAUCCUGCUUGCGCACAGUAUAGCUGGGCUUUGUUGUACCUUAAGGUAAACAUUUCUUUCUACAGUAUCUUGCAAAAUCUGGUGUGAACUCUUACAUAGUUCAAUAUAUUGUGCUUGCAUUUUUUUUUUUUGUUUUUUGGUGGAAAAGUAAGAUGUGCACUGCUAGCUGCCGAAAUUGUCAUUUUCUAGAGACAUUAGCUUCUGUGUCUAUGUAAUGGAUCUCUUAUUACUGAUUUUAGUUCGAUCAAGUACAUAUCUAUGAGAUUUAAUUAUUUUUCUAUAUAUUUUUAGGGUUACCACUCUUUGCAAUCUUAUCGGAUAGCUCAUGUAUUAUGGAAUCGAGGUCGUAAAGUUUUAGCAUUGGCAUUGCAAAGCCGUAUAAGUGAGGUGAGUUUUUGACAAUUCCGUCGGCUGCAAAAAGGAUUGGCUUCUUCAGUAAGCGUUAAUUGAGCUAAUAAUUAUUUUGUUCUAUUACUGACAUGAAUAUUUGAUCUGUUUUGCCCUUUUUAGGUCUUUGCUGUGGAUAUACACCCAGGUAUCUACUUUUUUCAUCUAUGCUGUACAUGUUUCAAGAGAUCCUUUGUUGGAGCUAUCUUUCUUUAAGUUUUAGAGAAUCUCCAUUGGUUGUGGAAGUUGCUGUUGUUGUUUGGUAACUUUAAGGUUUACAAAAUGUACUACAUCACCAUGAAAAUAUUUCUGGUUAACAGCAUGCAGUAGCUGACGUAAUGUAAUGUAGCAUAAACCUCCAGAACUCAGUCCAGGCUUCUAACUUAAUCAACUUGUACGUCUAUUCUCUUCCUCUUAAAACUGAUUCCAUUCCUCAUAGAUGUUUAACUUGUUUCUAUCUUUGUAUAUUUACUUUUUCUGAACAACUAUUUAAAGUUUUUUGGGUUAUUCGCUAGAGUUUGCUAACUCCAUUACCCUCAGGAUACUGUUAUAAUUUGUUGGUUCACAUCAUGUAGAGGUUUGAGUGGAAUGCUCUUCAUUUGUAGGUUGGUGCCCUUAACUUUCAGCAUAUGAAUCUUAAGUAAGAAACAUUUCAAUAAGAAAAGAGAAUUUUUAGUGAGAAAACUUUAAGUUGAUUUUUUUGCAAUCUCAUAUAUGUCUUAUGAUGCCUACUGCCAUUAUACUUGUUGCACUACUCGUCUUAAUUAAUAACUGGUGAACAUUAGGCCUGUGGAAGUUAUACUGCCACUUUUGUAUCAUAGGGAUCAACACUUGAUUAAACUUUGUACUUUUUAACCCUUUAUGAGAAUAUCUUUUGGCUCAUUUAUUCUUAAAUACUGCCUCUAGUAACCUGUGUUUUGCAUAUAGACUUGGGGAAUAUUUGGUGGUCCGUGAUGCUGUUCUUAUUAAUUUCCAAAUUUUUACUAUGUAGAUUAUGUCAAUUCUAAAUUUAUGCAUCUCAAUGUGCUGCCUCUAGUAAACCGAUUAUUUGGUGGUCUGUGAUGCUCUUCAUAUUAAUUCCGCAAUUUCUAUAAUGUGUACUAUUCCAAUCCUCUAGUUAUGAUAUAAGUAACUGGUGAACAAAUGUAAAUUUUCAACAUAUAAUUGCAGGUUGCAUCUUGUGGUAGUCGUAAAAGUUAAAAAAUCAAUGACUGUUGUAGGUUGAGUGGGGAAGACAGCACUUAAAAUUCAUAAUUUGCCUUGUAGAAGUCUUCUUGUGGCAUUAGUUUUUUGUCAGUCUAUUUAUCAGUUUGUAAAGGUUUGAUGCUCUGGUAUAUUGUGUAUCUGUCACCCAGUUCUUAUACUUAUUUACUGGGAUAGCUGCAACUGCAAGAAUCACCAAUUUGGCAUCUCUAGUCUCUACCAACAACUUUUUAUCCUCUUGCUGCUAUUUUGUUCUUCCUCUGAUUCAAGAUCUUUAAUUUGGUUUUUUACAAGUUUGUAUGGUCCUCAUUAUGUUACAUGCAGCUGCGAGAAUUGGCGAGGGAAUUUUGUUGGAUCAUGGAACUGGUUUAGUUAUUGGUGAAACUGCUGUUGUUGGAAACUGGGUUUCUCUUAUGCAGGCAAGUAUAUAUAUCCUUUUUAUGCUCUCACUUGUUACCAGGUUAUUAAGUAGAAUUGCUUAUGUUUUAUUUUCGACCUUUUUUUUUCCUGUUUCUGAAGUGAGGCCUCUAAAUGCAUUUCUUGUUGUUGGUUGGUUGGUUUAAUUUAGUCUGCGGUAAGUAUUUUAAAUAAAUAAUGGUUUUUAUACAUGAAUGUAUGUAACCAUUCUGCAAAUUUGCUUACAGGGUGUUACCCUAGGAGGGACAGGGAAGGAACAUGGAGACCGCCACCCUAAAAUAGGACAAGGUGCUCUUAUUGGGGCUGGUGCAACAAUUCUUGGUAAUAUUGUUGUAGGUGAAGGUGCUAUGAUUGCUGCUGGUUCUCUUGUGCUAAAAGAUGUACCUCCUCACAGGUUGGAGUUGUUUAAAAUUGAUUACAUGAAUUAGUUUUUAUACAAUUUCAUUGAGAUUUUUAUAUUGUAAGAUUUGUUGGCACUUUAUAGUUGUUACAAUGAAGACUUUGGCAAUUUCAGUUGUUUUUGUUGGUGUGUAUAAUAAUCAAACUCUAAAAAUGUUUUAUUCUAAAUUUUCUUUGAAUAUAUGACAUGUCUCACAUAACUCUUCUCUGAAGGUAAUGAGUUUAUAAGUUGAGCUUCCAAGACUUUCAUACAUGCAGCUUGUGAUGGAAAUUAAAUAAUGUUACUUCUUGGACGAUAUGGAUAUGUACAUAGCCGGACAUGUAUACUCAAUAUUGAUAUGAACCAGAUUUGGAUACGGAUAUGGAUAUGUACAUCUGGAUAUGUACAUAGCCAGACAUGUAUAGUCAAUAUAUCAACAUUUCUCUACCGGAUUCUCACAAUAAUGUGUUCAAAAUUUAAAUUAACGGUACUGCUUGUAAUGUUGUCCAAUAAUGUGUGUAGACUGCUCUGCUCUGCACGUCCAGAAUGAUUUUGCAGUUUCUGUACUCGGAAUUAUUUGAAUUUAAUCUUUGCUACUCUGGAUAUUUAUAUGUUCUACUAAUUGUCUUCCUUUAAUGUUAUAUUUUUAUAAGGGUUUAUUUCUUUUUCUUGAGUUGGUUAGGACUGGUACAUUAAUUGUAGUUAUUUGAUUGGAUUUAUUGUUUGUUUUGUGUAGCAUGGCUGUUGGAAAUCCAGCAAAAAUAGUUGGGUUUUCAGAAGAUGAAGAUCCAUCUUUUACAAUGAAGCAUGGUAAGUAUAAUAUUAUUUUAUGUAUUCUGCAAUCUACUGCAUCAUUAUUUUUAGUUUAGACUUAUUUCACAAUACAAUGGCUCUUUCUUUGAAUGAUAACAGAUGCUAGAAAGGAUUAUUUUGAGCAUGUAGCUGCUUGUAAGAGAACUAAUGGUGAGUAAUUUUCCUUACUGUGCCAAGAAUCAUGAAGGUAGUACAAAUUAUUUUGACCAUUUCUUGUUAUGUUCGACUUUUCUGUUUAGAUUUGUUUCCUUGCUCUGGCAGUAAAGGAAGAUUACUUUUUUUUUUUUUAAAAAAACUAGUGGAUAAUCUAUAUUUCAAGAGUUGAUCUGUUUUCAAGAGUAGGGAAUAAGAAACACGGACACACCUAAAAUGUCAAGAGAACCUAUUUUUGACCCAUGCCCUGCCAUAUCCUCCUUGAGUCCUGGUUAGGAUUGGUAUAGUACUGGGGACGUGAUCAGGCCUGGGCAACUGGAUCCAAGUAACAAAUUUUUUUGGGGGGCUUUCUCUUUCCAUUGCCUACAGCACAAGGGCUGUGUUGUAUUUGAAUUCGACCUACAUGUCCAGAACAGUUGCCUGUUAUUCCUGAAGGUUUUGUUUCUUGGUAGUGCAUUACUUGCAUGGAUCUUCAUCUAAUAAGUAACUUCUUGAACUUACAGAAACCUCAUCAAAUCAUUGAUUUCUAAUUUGUAUACUGUAACUUUGAUAGAAAAUCUAUUGGGAUAUGUUAGCAUUUCAUUUUGGUUAUAGAAUAGGUGCAUGAACAGAAAUAUUUGAUUUCCCUUACUGUACAUUUCUGAGAAUAUUCUCUGAAGUUCAGGUAGGUUAUACUAUGCUUUUCCUCCAAAUUAUGUAGUCUGAACGAAGCCUACUUAUAUUCCAAAUGUGACAAUGUUUUUUUCACAAAUCCAAUCAUCAAUGUCAAGAAAUCUGUUCUUCUUUAAAGCAUGUCCAUGUGAAAAGAAAAACUCAAAAUACUUCUCAUCUCAGGAAUCUCAGGAGAAAAAGGAAAUUAUUAUACAAAGUAGCCGUACAGAAUCCUUGUUUAAUUAGUCUCUGUAGUCAUGUAAUGAUUACCGUUAAGUUGGUUUUCAUCCAAAAAAGGAAAAAAAGAAGUGACUGGGUGCCCUUUUUCUGCAGGUUGCAUUUACAAUGAAAAGAAGUGAAGCUUGCAAAUGUUAGAUAUGGUUAUUUUGAAGCGCUUUCAAGAAGAUAGGAUCAGAUGAUUCUUCUUGUAAGUUAUGUAUCAUUGUGAACAGGCAGAGGUUGGUUGUUUAUAUCAAGUUUUGGCCGCCGGUUAAACAAAUAUGCUCCUUAUUUUUCAGGGGAGGUGGGAUGAGGCUGGCCGGACAUCAAUUGUUCCGAUAGUGUUAUCCAGUAUGUUGUAGUUGUAUCUUAUAUUUAUGUCUGCAUUGUCCCUAAUUCUUGAAUUGUAAGCUUAAUGCAGUAUUUGGUACUUUACUGCUAGUUGCGUAGACAUUGAUUCUUGAUUUUUGUAAUUGAUGUCUCAAUUGCCUAAUUACUUGUACUCGUUGGAUAUUGUGAAGAUUAGAAAGAAAAUAAUCUCUAAAAGAUAUAGAUCGGUAACAUAUGGUUAAAGGAUUCCCGUAAUUUUUUUGUUAUGCCAGGUUCUGUUCCUAUUUUUGUUUUCUCUGUUGUAAGCAUUGGAAGACUUCAGUUUUUACACUUCUCCCAUUACUGUGUGGCACCUGAUAUUCUGUUAUAUUGUCUCUUCUCUUGUAGCUUUGUUUGUUUUUUUGGUUUUUUUCCACCGUGUGUUAUGAUUUUCUAUGAUCUUAUAUUUAAGAGUUUACUUCAACUGGGCCUUUUCAUAAUGCAGAUUUGGAAUUAUAAAGGUGGCUUGGAUUUAUCAUUUGAAUAAAAUGUUAGGUCGCAUCUGUCAUCAAUUCCUUGUAUUUAUUUUGUCUUCUCAAAAUCACAUAAUUGGAUGUAAUGCUCGAUGGUUUUUGCCUUGUAUAAAUGACUUGAAAUUAUUAUUGGAAGGGUAGUUACUUUUAUAUUACAAGGCACAUCCCCAUUUUUCAAGGAGAAUGGGAUCUCGUGCUGUUCACAUGAUCCCCUCGUUGACCAUUUUACGAUUUGUUGUUGGAAAAGCCGUCAAAUCUUAGAUCUAUUGUUUAUGUUCGUUGAAAGCAUUCAUUCGCGGUGUUGUUUAAUCGUUUUGUUUUAUUUAAUUUCUGCAAAACACUGCAUUCUUUCUUUUUUUUUUUUAAAAGGAAAAUUAGUAUAAUGUCUUUUUUUAAUUUUUUAAUUAAAUUUAGUUAAAAAUAUAAAUAAUUAGACCUUAAACUUGAAUCUUCUAGAUGUAAUACAGCGACGGUUGGCAUGCAUUUCCUUUUGUUAAACUGCCCAAGCUCACGUCUUUUCUUUCCAUUCCCAGGUUGGUAAUAAGCGUAAAACGUAUGCGUAUACAUGCGGACAAAAACGCCCCUAUCAAAUUCCUCAAUACCCAAAAUGUUCGUCUUUUUAGCGGUGUGGAAACCCUCCCCUAAUGCAAUGCAAUACAGUACUCCCCAGAGGUUUCGAAGUGGCGAAACAUAAGCGUCGGAGAACAAAUCUCUCGGUUUAUUCAUCUUCAAUCCCUUUCCAUUCUCAUACGUCGCAUUUAAUUUAUUCGAUCGGGUAAGCCUUUUCUCAGAUCUACAAGUCCUCUAUAUUCUUUCCUCCCAAUUUCAUCUUCGAGAUCAAUAUCCGCUAAAUUCGAAGAUUUGGAUCUAGAGUUAAAUUAUCGACGAAUGAACUUAAUAAUUAUCAAGAAAUUCUCAAUUUCCCCGAUCAUCAAACGUGCAGUGAGUGUAUCUUAAUCAGACACAGUCAUUACGGAUCUUGUAAUGAGUGUUCCGCGGGUGCGAAAUCAUUCCAAGAAUAAAAGAUCGAGUAUGGAUCUGAACAUUGCCUUGAUACAUUUGGUGAGGGUAAUGUGAAUUCUUGAUUUCUCUCUUGGUCGAAUAAUCCAAGGUUGUGAGUUCAAAUUUGUUGCUAUGUUUUCGUUUCAUCUAUCACCGAUCCAGUGGUUGUAUUCAUACUUGUUAUAUAAUUUUAUUUAGUCCUCGCUGAUCUAGCGGCGAAUGUUCUUUUGCAGGUUUGAAGUUUGUAUAGGACAUGGCUUCCAAAGAAAACACAUCAGUUCUUGCUCAAGAAGAGAGGAGUAAUGGAACAGAAGAAGGCAUUGAAGAGGAUGCUGCAAACCCAUUAGAUAAACAAGCUAUUAAGAAGCACGAAUUAAAUGGCUCUUCUGUCAAUGUUGAUAUGGAAAAUGGCAAUCGCGACGUUCCUGCUAGUAGUGAUGACACCCACGAUCAGCUAACUCUAAUGGUUAUGGAGCUAAGUUUACAGAAUGAGUACUUGAAGUCACAAGUCAGAGAUGUCCAUGCUGAACUUCGAAGAUCGAAGCAUGUUUCGCAGACAGGUAGCGAGAAUGACCGAGGGGAAGAAGCGUCUGAAUUAGUAAACAGCUUACACGAACAGAUAAAGAUUUUGAAUAAGGAAAUUCAGGAGCAUAGGGAAACUCAAAAGGCAGCAGAGGCAGCUCUGGAGCAUCUGAGGGCUUCAUACUCGGAGGCCGAUGGGAAGGUUCAAGAGCUCUCUGCAAAGCUUACUGAAGGUUUGUACUCGCUUUUUUAAGUGUCUGGCCAGUCGUCGUGGUUUUUUGGGGCUCUAAUAACUAAAGAUCAAGUUGUAUAUAAAUAGAUUAUGGGGUUGAAAUAUGGAGUUUGCUCAAGUGCGGCUUUGGUUCUGUACUAUUUUGUUCCACCUUUAGCAUAAAUUAACGUGUAGUUUGGUGACAAUGUUUUGGAGAUGGAAUUUAUUUCUGCUUAAUUAUACUCUAUUAGGGUCUUGUGCUCUUCUGCCAUUCCCUCCUUGAUCUCCUUUGAAAUGUUAAACCAUUAUAUAGUUUCAUGUAUAUAGCUCAACAGAAGAUGGAGCAGGAAAUGAAAGAACGUGAUGACAAGUAUGUUGAGUUGGAUACCAAGUUUGGGAGGCUUCACAAACGUGCAAAACAACGUAUCCAAGAGCUACAAAAGGUAAAUGAUCAGAAUGAUUUCAGCGUUACUUUCUUCUUGCUUAUACUCUAGCAACAACUGCGGUAGUUCACAUGCUAUUCUCUCAUUUAUGCAUAGUUUCCAAUAACAUGAUGAAAGGCUGUCGAUCAGUUUGGUUGUUCUUUGCCGUAAGAUUGAGAAAUGAUUGAUAUUCGUAGAGAAUUAGAUGACCUGCAAUACAAUCUUUAAACAAUUUCUAGGUAGAAUAUUUUUGUUCAGUCCUGAAUAGAUUAUAUGGUAGAAAGAAAUAAUCCCCUGCAUCUGGGUAUUUGAGAAGCAUUUUAGAUGUACCUGUAGCAUGCUUUAUUUUGUAAAAACGUAAAUACUGUCUAGUACGUAUGCUGCAUUUAUCUGAUGUAGAAAUAGCUGGAGUAUUGAAGACAGUGUGCGUCUGCAAUUUAACUCAAAUGCAAAUUUUACUGGCAAACAAUCAUCACAGUAAAACCAAUAAUCAAUAUUGCUGCUUUAAUAGCACAUAUUCCACUUUCUCUUUACCUUUUUAUCAGCUGCUAGCUGCUGCUGUUAUUACUGCUCUAUAUUGGUAUCUUGAUUCAAUUUCUUCUAUAUUCCAGGAGAAGGAUGACUUGGAAGCCAGGUUUAAUGAAGUUAAUGCAAAGGCUGAGCAAGCUUCAUCUCAGCAAGCUUUAGUGCAGCAGGAGUUGGAACGGGCACGUCAACAAGCUAGCGAAGCAUUGCGAUCUAUGGAUGCCGAAAGGCAUCAGUUACGGUCUGCAAACAACAAGUAAAUCUCUCCUGAAUAGCAUUUCAUCACUUUUUUUUUCUGUUGUAAAUUACUAUGAAAUGGUAUCGGUAGUCUUUUUUAAUGCUGCAUGGGUAAAACUUAAUGUCACAUUGCUCCAACCAGACUCCAAAUUAUUUCAGCCUACUAUAUAUUUAAAAAUCCUGUGUUUAGGCCUCGUAUGUAACUAGUCUGAUGCCGAAACAGAUAAAUUACCUUGAAGGAAGCAAUGAUGCUUAGGGAAUUAUUAGUUUAAACAUGUUGAAGUGAGAUCAUAAUUGAUUGAUAAUUAAUUAAUGUGCAUUCUUAUUGCUAAAUAUUUUACAUAUUUAGCAACGUAAAACUAAUUUUGCUCUAUUCAAGCUCUUUAGUUGGGCUGUAGAGCCUUUUACUGCAGUUGUUGUGAUGGAUGAGGGAAUUCCUAGAUAUCUUCAACAAUUUUGUGUUUUUGUAGAGUGCUUUUGUUAGUGUCAUACUCCACAAUGCUUAUUUCUAGACAAUAAGUUCAAUGUCAGCAGAAUAGCUAUGCUACUUUAUCCUACCUUCAUUUGCACUCUUUAUCUUCUGCAGAGAUCUUCCGCCUUCUGACAUAUAUCUGAUGUUGGUCUUUUUGAAAGUUCUUUUUGCCUGAUACCUGCCAUGCUGUUCAUUUAUGGUCAUCUACUCUUAUUCUUUCUUUGUUUAAAAAAAAUGAAUUUCUUGUCAAAUCCAUCAUUUAUCAGAUGCUUUUGUACUUAUAUAUUCAUUUCAAUAUUGUAUAGACUUCGGGAAAGCAUUGAUGAGAUGCGUCGUUCCUUAGAAGCCAAGGAAAAUGCGCUUGAAGGGUUACAGCAGUCUAUUUUCGACAAAGAACAGGUAGAUACCUGUCAGAUCAUUUUUAUUUAUCAAUUGUAGCUCAUAUGCUCUUAGACAUUAGUUAUACUAUGAUUUUUUGUUUGAAGAUCUCGUAAGGCAUUACAGAUGACACUAUGGCAUAUAGGUUGCCUAAGAGUGCUUUCGACUGUGCUGCUGUUAUUUGAUAUAGUUGACUUCUGUGUUUAGUUAUUCUUGUUUCAGUGGUUCACAGGUUUGUCCAUCACCCUAAUAUAUCAUUUGCAUUUAUGUUUUUUCUCCUACCCAGUCUUUUUUAAUCAUGUAAAGUUGCUUCUAGUUGGGUCCUGACAUUAUUUGCCCAUUCUAUGCGUUAAUCUGCUUUUAAGCUGAAGACAGCAGCAUCACUUAGCCAAUGCAAUUUUGUUGUUCACUUGAAUUUUUUUUUCCGAAGAAUCACUUUUGGACCAAGGAUUUAAGUGCCUAUCGGCACGGACCAUAUCCACCGUACCGUAUUGUGCUAACAAGAUAUCGGCACGAUACAAUCCCCAUGUUGAUAGCACAAUUUAAAACUCUAUAUUCUUUAAAUUAGUCGGUAAUUUUCUCAAUAAAAUUCAAAAGAUUUAAUAAAGAUACAUAAUAAGCAAUUAGAGUAUGUUGUUGCUAAAGAAAAUAAAUAUUUCAUGCCAUUAUGUGCCGGCACAUAUGUAUUUUUUGUGACCGACGCGCAUCGGCACCAUCCGGCACGCAUCGUGCCGUACCGUGCUGGUAAGUUUACGGCACGACUCUGUGCCACGACACUUAAAUCCUUGUUUUGGACACAGGAGCAAGCAAAAAUGUCAGUUUGUAUAGAGAGUAUCAGGUUGAACAUUUAUGUACUUGGUAAUGAGAAGUGGAAAAGGUCCAAGGAUUUCAUAAGCAUCGUAUCAUAGAGAGUAUAAGUACUGGUAUCUUAUGCUGAUUUCAGCGUGGACAUCUUAGUUUCCUUUUCUUUAUCCGAAAGCAUUACGCAAUGAUUAUUGGGUCUGGUAAAUUGAAUACACUGAAGGUUUUCUUUUUAUUGUUUUUAUUGCAGAUGCUGGAGCAAAUUCAAGCUUCUUUGCAUUCUGCAGAAGAGAAAAGACAAACAUCUAUAACAGAGCUUUCUGCUAAGCACCAGAAGGUUUCAACUAGUUAUUUAAAUGCCGUUUUCUUGCAGUAUCCAUGAAAUAAUAUAUCACAAAUAUUACAACCGCAGAAGUUGUUGAGUUACUGGAUGUUUUAUUCUAUUAUCUUAACUUUCUUUCUUGUUCCAUAUUUAGCAAUUAGAAAGCUUGGAGGCACAACUUGCUGAUGCUUUAGCAGAAAGAAGCAAAGCAGCUGAAACAAUCUCUUCUCUGCAGGUGAUGUGAUCUUCUUAGUUCUUGUAGUCACGCUGUAUGCUUGUGAGCUUGAGUAGUUUUCUACUUCUAAGAAAUUGUAAGGUUGCAUUCUCAGAGGUAACUCUGGGCCGUCUAGUCCAAUCACCUGUUUGUUUAAGUGGCCAAUUGGCCGUAAGCACUGGCUACGCGUAUUGGCAUAACCUUCCAAGUAGUAAAGUUGGAGAGUUUAUGCCAUGGAUGGUAAGGGUUGCAUCAUGAUCCCGUCAAAAUAAAAAUCACUUCUUUUCUUUGAAAUAGAUCUCCACGAGCAAAGGCUCCUGUCAUGAUGAACCCUGCAAUGUAGUGGUGAUGAGUAUAUAAGGCAGCUUGAGUAGUGAAGUCUUGUGCUAUGCUACUUGGCUUUAGCUUGCUCACUACUGUGCUAGCACAGGAUGAUCAAAAUGGUCAAGAAAAGCCAAUAUACUCAAAUAUAUAGUAGAAUUCUCAAGAAAUCUGAAACUAGGUACACUAAAGAAGAGAAAAAUAGUUAGCAAGACUAGAUUACUCUGAACUAAAACUGCAACAGGAGGGGAUUGCUAUAGAAAGAUAAUUGACUUCUUGUGAUAUGAGAUGUCGUUCCAGCUGAGAAUAAUUAUUAUAUCCUACUACCAUUUGUGCUCUUGACCAAUUUAGAGUUUUUCAUAUAAGAGUGGUAAUAAAACAUUUUCCGAGUCAAACGUAAUCUUCAGUUUGAGUCAACUUUAUCCUGCCUAAAAUUGCUUAAUCUAUUUCUUACAAGUGGAGCUUCUGCUUACUGACUCCAGAAUAUCUGCUCUAGGUUCUUAUUAUGCAUUAAUACUUAAGAACAUGCAAGACAUGUAUUUUUGUUCUAUUCCAUCUUUGUGAAUAUAUGGGUUCAUGAUGACAUAAACAGUAAACUUAAGAACCAAGCGAAUCUUUUGAUUUGCAUUUGAAGUUCCCGAAGAUUCCAAUUUUUAUCCAUGUGGAUGUGGAGAUUGCUAAUCAUGGACAAUAAUGCGGUUGUAGAUGCAACUCCUAUGGCACAAAAGAUGAUGUCACAGACACAGUAUACAUUAAUUGUGUAAAAAGGUUGAUCAUCUUUAAGAGCCCACUCUACUUGAUUAACAUCCCUACUUAUAUGCAAACAACUAGGUGCAUUAAACUGUGUGGUAUAUUCUUGAAACAAUCAACUUCAGCUGUAAGUAGUGGCAAAUACAAAUGACAGCUUUACUGAUCCCUUGUUUUUUUGGUUUGCAAUCCUAAUUUGAUGGCAGGAGUCAAUCUGUCUCUUGAUUUUCUUUCAUCGCAAUUGUUUUAUUCCUGUGUCAAAUGCUGUGAAGCAUAAUAUAUGGUUGGUAGUUGUCGAGAUGAUGUGAAUUCUGAAAUUUUACCUUAACUUUUCCAGAUGCUUCUGGUUGAGAAAGAUUCAGAAAUUGCAGAGAUAGAGGCUGCUUCAACUGGUGAAGCUGUGCGACUUGGAGCUGCAUUGGAGGAGAUGAAAGGAGAACUUAUUCAUCUCAAGGACCAUCAUGUAUGAUCUAGAGAUCUGUUUUACUUUGCUAUUUAAUUUGUGGAAGCAAGGAAUGAACAUUUUGCGAACAAUUUUAGAGGACUACAUAAUUUUAGAUGCCUUGAAUGGGAGGAGGGAUGAGAGAGAUAAAAUUGCCGGAACAUCUAAAGGUGGGGUUCAUGAGGUUGAGCUAGCCUCCCAUAACAAUGAAUAUGCAAGAUUAAUAAAUUGAAUACCAGCAUAGAUAGAGAAACCAAUGGAUAAUAGACUAUUUUUUUUUUUCCGUCUACAGUGGUUCUCUUUUGUUGAUUACUACACUUGAUGUGAUUUUUUUUUUUUUCACUUGAUGUGUUUUUUUUUUGGUUGAUUAGUGGAUGUGAUGUUUGUCAUGCUGAAUCAGUAUCUUAUCUUUCUGUGAUAAAGCUCCAUUUCUGUGCAAUGACUUUUAGGAAAAAGAAAAGCAGAGCUGGGAGGCAACUUGUCAAACCCUGAGAAUGAAGCUGGAAGCAUCUGAGAGUGCAUGUCUUCAAUCGGAGAUAGAAAUUGCUAGAAUUAGAAGUAUGUUAUUUAACUUUUUCCUAUUGUUAAAUCAUUAAUUACCGCAUCAUGCUUUAAUGUAUAUCAUCAUCAUUGUUGAUUUAUAGGUCAGUUUGAAUUAGAAUUAUCUGCACAAAACCAGUUGUUGCAUACAAGAGAUGCUGAACUAAUGGCUGCUAAAGAUGAGGUAUGAUAGAGCUAUUAGUUUUUUGGAGUUUUAAUUAUCUGAAUUUCGGCAUUCUUUUCUUUCAUAAAUUUAGCAAAGAAGCUUCUUUCAGUUGAUAAAACGUUAUCUACUUGUUCUUGUUAGAUCCAGACUAAUGAAGACUCUUCUUGACUCGUCAGUUGGUGUUUAUGUACUUAUUUUGUAGUGGUCAGGAUUAUGGAUCUUGUCCAAUUUUCUUUGCCCAAACUCUUUAUUUCCAAAGCGCAGAUGGUUUGUAUAAGUUUAAUAUUACAUCUGCAAUGCCUUUAAUCCCAUUUAUUGGGGCCUAUAUGGAUUGCAUUCUUUGAUGUAGCUUAGUUUUGGGAAAUAAAAAUGUGGCAUCGCUUAAAUGGAAAAAAGAAAUCUCAACGCCUUUUGUACUUUAAGCUUAACAUUUUUAGCUUUCAGUAUUGAUCUUCUAUAUUUGAAGUCAUAAAUUUUGCAGAACUAAGUGAUUUGGAUAACUGCUUGUGUUACCAAUAAAAUUUCAGAGGCCUCCACCGUAUGGUUGUUUUAGUUUUUGAUAAUGGGGAAAAUUGUUCUUUUGUCCAAGCUUUUAGAUAGAAAUCUUUGGAGUAACUUUUUCUGUUUAUCUGGAUCCACCAAUAUCACUUAUUAUUUUUUGCAGAUCAGCCGUUUAGAAAGUGAAUUUUCUGCAUAUAAGGUUCGUGCACAUGCACUUCUGCAGAAGAAGGAUGCUGAGUUAUCUGCAGCGAAAAACUCAGAUUUAGUCAAAGCUCAAGAGGAGGCCCUGAAAGUAUGAAAAUUCUUAUUAGUAACUGUCCAAUGGUGACUUUUGAGUUUUUUGAAUGUAAUUCAUGUUUCUUGUCAUUAUUAUGGUCUAGGAAGCUGAAAGUGAAGUAGCAGCAGCUCUGGCAGCAAGAGAAAAAGCCAUCCAAGACCUUCAAGAUGCUUUGACAAGAUAUGAUAAAGAAAUUGCAGCAAGGUAAAUGAGUCUCUGCAGAACAACCUAGUUAUAGGCAACUUUUCUUCUCAUAAAGCCCCAAUUUAAAUAUUGUUGUUUAAACUAUUUGCGCACUUACAUAUAGUUGUUGCAGCCAUUCCUAUUGGAAUUUCGGUAAAUGUUUGAUUUCACUUUUGUUUAUUUAAAACUUCUUUUUCUUCCUGUCUUCGGUCACAUCUAAGUUUUAUCCCGCCCCUUCUUUUUAUGCUUCUAGUGUUUUCUAGAUUGUUGUUAGGGAAGCUGCCACAGAUGUAUUACAAUUUGUUAAGCAUUUCUUCAGGCAUGUUUGAUACAAUUAGAUUCUAGCUAUGUCACUUGUUGCAAAGUUCUGUUAUCGUGAACAUUAAGAAUGAUAUUGAGUUUUGUCCUCUCUUGCUUUCAGGGAUGCAGCUCUUGCUGAUGCUGAUCAAAGGAUAAAGAGCAUUUCCACGAAGCUAGAUUCCACUACUGCUGAUUAUCUGUCAGAAAAAGAAUCAUGGCAAAAGAAAUUGGAUAGUGUAGAAGAAAACUGGAAACGUAAGCUGCGUCAGCCGUUUUGACUACACAUUAAUUUUCUUUUUCUUGUUCUGAUGCUGUGUUUAAGGUUUAUAAUUACAAGAUAAAUAUUUCAGUGAAAUAUGUUGCGUUGGAGACACAACAAGACGAUCGAAUUGGAAAUGAUGUUCAAGAGGAUUUAGAUGAACUGAAGUUACGAUUUGAAAAAUUGAAGGUUUCUUUCUUGAAACUAAUCUAGUUCAGGUUUGUUAAUUGAUUUUUUUUUUAAAAAAAAAAAACUAAUGUUGUUAACUUACUUGUAGGAGGAGCAUGAGGCAUUCCGUGAUAUUGCUGAUAGAAUGAUUGAGGAGAAGGAAAGGGAAAUAGCGAAGUUAAAGGAGGACAAUAAGAUUCUUCAUCACUCUUUGGAUUCAAGGCCAUUUGUAUGUGACCUUUUUAUGCUUUAGCUUUUCAUAUUUUGUUGGUUAUUCUAUUGUGUUUUUAGACUAGAGGCUGCUAACUUUUUUGUGUGUAGUACAUUUACAAACUCGGCCAUUGUACUUUUUUGGACAAUGUAUUGACUUAUUUCUGUUGGUAUGCAGUACCUGCAUUAAUCCAUAAUAAAUGUUCCACCUGAUAAGUUGAACCUGCCUAUAAUAUCAUAUGCAGGCAAACAACUUUUUUUUUUGCCCUUUUUAUGCAUAGUAAAUACUAUUUUGGCUAGCCCUGUCAUUUUUAUCCAUAAAGCCUGGAAUGCUAGAAUGACAAUAUAUUUUGGUGUUGGAUUACUGGGUGUGAGAAUUAGCAUUUCCUUUUACAGGGUUUAACGCCAAGCUUGCAAUAUCAAUGUUGUUGACCAAUGAAUCACCUAAAGUAUGGCCUCGAUAUAAUUUGAAUUGUUAAAUUUGAACUCCCACCUGUCUAUUUUUUUACUUUGUUAUGGUUAGAACUUUUUCCUCUUCAUCUCUAACUUGUGUUUUUUGGAAUUGCUGCCUUUUUGUUAACUUUUCCCUCAUUUGCUGUUGUAAUCAACAGUAAGAAAUCAUAACAGAGGUAUAUGCUGACUCAUUAUUCUUUGUAAAGUAAGAAUCUUCUGAAAUAAUGUUGUAUUGUGUUCCAGGUUGACCAUGGUGGUACAGAAAACUCAGGUAACUGGAGGAUGACUUCAUGUUUGUAUCUCGUUAUUUCAUUUCUUUCCAACUUAGGUUUGGUAUAUAUAUUGGUUUAUAUUAUUGUGCUUGCAGCAUCUCUGAAACAGGAUGCACAACUUUCAAGCAUUGCAGCUGCUGAGCAACAAAUUUUGGUAAUUUCAUUUUUUUAGAAAGUACUUCAGAGAUAAGAGUUUUAGCACUAUUUCUGAUAUAUUGAUCUAUCCACAGAAUAUUACUAUUUUUUUUUGUGUAAAUGACCAAAUUUCGGCACGGAGCUUGAUGCUUAUUCUACAUUUAUUUUGAUAACUUGUUAUAGCUUGUCAACUUAAUUCCUAUGAGAUACCAAAUUAUAAUAGUACUGAAUAUUUUCUGAUAUUAAAUUGACGUGUUUUUAUUAUAGAUGCUGAUUUUUCACCUUGGUGUUUCUUUUGGUGUGUAUAUUCACUUGCCUAGCCCAUGUAGUUUAUCGGUAACUGGAAUAAGUAUGAUCCUCCUAGGUGUACAGGUCAGACAUGUUAGGAGGCAAUGGGACAUGAAAACUUGUAUAUUUUAACUAGAUGUUCAUAUUUGUCGAAAGUUAGGUGCGAUUUUCUCUGUCUGCAGCUAUAACUUUCUUUAAGCUCCUAAUAUGAGAUAGAAUUUAUUAACUCCUAGUCGGCCUUUUGAUCUUAAAGAUUUAUCAGUUGCUUGAUGAUGCCUGAAUUUAAAGUCUACUGAAUCUGAAAGGGAUGAGGAUGAGCUGUUUUCAAGUGAUAAUUGGUGUUUAAUUUCAGCUGUUGGCAAGGCAACAAGCUCAGAGGGAGGAAGAACUUGCGCAGUCACAGCGGCAUAUCUUAGCACUUCAGGUUAGUUUUAAUUACUUGGUUAUUAGCUUUCCCAUGUCCAUUAGUAACAUCUAAUCUGUUUUCAGGAAGAAAUUGAAGAACUCGAACGAGAAAAUCGCCUUCACAGUCAACAGGUCAGAAGCGUGCGUGUGCACUGGUUUAACAUACCAUUCUAAUUGAAACUCCACACAUAUGCUUUAUUUCUGUACAACAUGACUGUGUUUGUUAAGGUUGAUUAGUUAGAUUUUAGCACCUAGUUUUAAUAUUUUCUGAAAGAGUGGACAUGCUCAUGAAUUUGCUUUGCGAUCUGCUGCGCCAUCACUCUUAAGGUUUUUAUUUACCCGCUAUCAAACCUUACAUUUGGUUGAACCCAUUUAUUGCUUUGUAUAAUCACCAUCAUUAUUGAGACAAUAAACAUUGUAUUUUGAGAAAUCUGCUAGUAGAUGUUAUUUAAUAACCUCUCCUGACUACUGUAGGAAGCAAUGUUGAAGGCUGAGCUCCGCAAUAUGGACAGAUCGCAAAAGCGAGAAGGGAUAGAUAUGACUUACCUUAAGAAUGUUAUAUUGAAACUUCUUGAAACAGGUGCUUGAAGAGUUAAAACUUAAAUAAAAUGCUUUCUGUGCUAGUUUGUAUUAUAGGCGACAACUUUAAAUUUAGAGUGAUUAUAUAUAGAACUUGACUAGUACCUGGCUUGCGACAGGUGAAGUGGGGGCACUACUUCCUGUUGUUGCAACAUUACUGCAAUUCAGCCCUGAAGAGGUGAAUUGAACAACGUUUUUAUUCUUUUAUAUAUAUAUAUAUAUAUAUAUAUAUAUAUAUAUAUAUAUAUUCAAGUAAUAUGUACUUCUAUUCAUAACUAUAAUUGUAUGAUUCACAGCUCAAAAAGUGCCAACAAGCGCACCUCGUCAAAUGAUAUGCUUCAGCAUCAAUUUCUGUCGCCGAAUCCAAAUAUUACUUUUAUAUUUUCGAGACUGUCAGUUUACUUAUACUGCCUAAGAAACUAUUCUUACCUGCUGAUCUAUUCAGAUGCUGCUGGAGAAAUGCGGAGUUCGAGUUUAUCGGCACGUUACAGGGAAUCCAUAGACCUCUUAUAAUUCAUUAUUUAAGUAUGACCCUUGUAUGUGUGUAGCCUUUGGUGUAUAUAGGUCAAAUAUAUAUGUGAGAUCAGUAAUCCAAUGCUUAUCUGCAGGGAGAAUGAGCAGGGCUUGUUAAUGUUUAGUUGCGUGACAUUUCGACACUGAAAGAUAAUAUAUUUGGAUAUACUUGUUAUUCAAGUAUCAGUGAUAAUUGAAUAAGGAAAUCUAUUGUUUUUUUAUAUAUAUUGUUUGAACUUAUACUAUAUGAUUCUAAACCAAUGCAAAACCUAUGGCCUAUGACUAAUAAACAUAAUACUCGAUGUUCAAUGGUUUUGAUUUCAAUUUCGACAUAGCAAUCCUUUCUUAAAAAGAAAAUAUUUUAUUUUAGUCGCUCCUAAGUGGCGAAAAUAGAUAUAGAUAGAAUAUUAAUUGAGGUUGGAAAUCUUUAGAUUUCGGUCCUCUUGUGUGACACAUUAAAAUUUGAUGACAAAAUUUACGGAGUGGUGGUCCAUGGUCCUAUCCAUCCCGGUUGGAUACCCCUCCUGUCCUUUUUGUGUGACACGUCAGCAUUUACGGUUGGGACUUACAAGAACGCCACUCGGAAUAACCCGACUUUUCCAGUUUUCCUUCUGCAUGUAUGUUGACAAAAAUGCCCCUCCCCUAAUCAAAACGCGAGCGAGAGGAAAUAUAAGAGUAAAGAUAAAGAUGAAAAAAAAACGACCUCGCAUUUCUCCCUCGUCCCCGACAAUUUAAUCCAGCGAUCGCCCCACCACAGCCCUAGAGGUCCCUCCUCUCUCUCUCUCGUCUCUCUCUAUUUCUUUUCUUUUUUUUUUUUUAAUAAUUCGCGAUCGUCCACUACUAGCCCUAGAUUUCUACUGGAUUGAAUCGAUUCGAUUCGAAUUCAAUUCGAUUUCCUCGUUCUUGAAAUGAUUCCGUAGCUCUUGAAUCCUUUUUUAGGGUUUCACAGUCGCCACCCGCUCUUCCUUCGACCUACCAUUUUUUUUUUUUUUUGGCUAUGAGAUAUACAAUAAUAGAUUUGAAACCGUGUGCCUCUCAAUUCCUGUUAAUUUUGGCUUUUUUCUACGAUUUAGAAUAGAAUAUUAAUUGGAUUGCUUUAGCCCUCUUAAGAGCUAUUUGGUUUCUCGAUCUCUAUCAAUAAUUCUUGAAUUAACCUUCUUUAUCUUGGUUUGUCAUAUUUGUCGAUAGGUGUGCGAUUGUCGAUAGGUGUGCGAAAGCUGAAGCUGCUUUACGCAAAUGAUUUUGAUUUUGGGUUUGCAUCGAUUGUUUGGAUGAGAAUGCGUGGAAGGAUAUUUAGGCACCAUGAAGAUAGAAUUGGGUUAUCCUUAUCAAGUGUUGUCGUCGUAUCCGGCCCCUCUGUGGGCCACGGCGAUAGCGGGCUUUUUCGUGCUCCUCUCUCUUUCCCUUUCGAUGUAUCUGAUAUUCGAGCACCUUUCGGCGUACAAGAAUCCUGAGGUUUUGAUCUUUCCUAUUGCAAGAGUUUUGCUUCUGUGCUUUUGCUCUAGCAGUGAUAUCGAUGUUUUUUGCUGUAAUUUUGCAGGAGCAGAAGUUUCUUCUUGGUGUCAUAUUGAUGGUCCCUUGUUAUGCAAUUGAGUCGGUAAGCAUUCUACUUUUAAGUAAAGGAAUUCUUGGAAUGCUUGUGCAAAGUACUCACGACUUUCGUGUAGCAAAGCGUAGAAAUUAUAUCUACUUUAUAUCUACUUUAGACGUCAGAACAUAGUUAGCGGACGUUCGAGCGGGGAACAUAAGCCUGAUUCAUUUUGGUUACAAAAAGGUGGAUAUUAUUACUGAUAUUUUUUUAAGAACAUGUAAUUAUUGUUGUUAACUGUUAAGAUGCUUCUAGGAAAAUAUGUAUAACAAUGCACUCAAUAAGUGUUGUUUGUUUGUUCAUUCCAAAAAACCUUCUGACAUCCAGUUUCAUUGAUCGCGUCUGCUUAUCUCUUCUUUUCUUUUUUUAUGAUCAGUAAUUCGAAUGAAACAGGGCUUGCAAUUCAAUUGAAGGAUACAGCAAUAUAAGAUUUUUAGGACUCUUUUUUGGCACACUCCUACUUGCAACCUUGUCCGUAAAGGACUAUAGCAUAUCUUUAAGCUAUCUAAUGCUAGUUAUUUAACAAACAUAUAAUGUUAUAUUCCUUUUAUUAGAGCUACUCUUAGCUAAUACACAGGUGUGGAAUUUUGAGUGAGUAGUUUUCUCUUCUAUUUUGUAAUCUAAAUGGCAUGACAUGCUGACUAUUAAAACUUAAAGUUCCUUAUCAACAAGAAAUUUGGCGUUUAAAAACCUAUAGCUGAUAUGCUUAAUUUGUUUCUUUGUUUCAGUAUGUAUCAUUGGUGAAUCCGUCACUUAGUGUCGACUGUGGAAUCUUGCGUGACUGCUACGAAGCCCUUGCAAUGUAUUGCUUUGGAAGAUACCUUACUGCUUGCUUAGGUAUGCCUUCCAUAAUAAUCUCUUUAUCAAUUUUUUCUGUAGAAUAUGAUAAAUCAUCUUCUAACAUCCUGUUAUUUUACAGAUUCAUUUUUCACCUACACUAGUUUAUAUAUCCUUUAAGGCAUUGAAGUGUUCCUUUGUGGGCACACCACGAGGAAUUGUUUCUUCUGCCAACACAAUUUGUUAGUUUCGACUUUCUUUCACUUGUUUCAUUGCUUAGUUCAGGUUUAUGAUUGGCAUGCAAUUGCAUAAGACCUGAUUUCCAAGUCGCGUUAUCUUUUGUAUCAUUUUAAAUGACAAAAGUACCAAGUUUACAAUCAGACAUCAAUCUUUGCAAAAUUCAAUCAAUGCUAAUUAAUACGUAUUGUCAUCUGCCAUUCUCAAUAUGAUAAAUUACAGCAAUCCUUAGUUGUCUAUUUGCUCCCACCUAAGGUGAACACUAAUGAGGUUGCUACUGCUCAAGCCGUUUUCUAUAACAAAUUUUGUUGCUUUUACUGAUAUAUUUUUAAGAUGCUCAUUAGUACCUAUUUCGGCAGAUAAAUCAAAUUAUUUUCUUGUGAGCAUCAUAGGAAAUAUAGAAAAUGAAGAAGAUGCAGCAUCUACAAGUUAGCAUAUCUGCGAUUUACAGACAAUUAGUCGCGGCAUCUAAUAAGAUGAUCAAUUCUUGUUGCAAGUAUUUAUUUUAAAUGGAGAAUAACCCUAUUUAUCACACUCUUGCUUUCUUCACUAUCCGGCUUGUUCUUAAUGUGGUUGCUUAAAUAUUUAGGUGGGGAGCAAAGAACAAUCGAGUUUUUGGAGAGGGAGGGUGGUUCUGAUUCUAAAGCUUCUCUUUUAGAGAAUCCUUCUGAAAAAGGAAUCGUACAUCAUCAUUUUCCUCUGAAUUACAUUUUGAAACCAUGGAGAUUAGGCAAAGAGUUUUACCAGAUUAUUAAACUUGGAAUCUUCCAAUAUGUAAGUCGACCUCUGAUAUGUGAUUUCAUCAACUUAUUCAUUGCAAACAAAUUAAAACCUGGAAACGUGUCUUUGUGCAGAUGAUAAUAAAGACACUUACAGCUAUUCUCUCAGUUUUUCUUGAAGCUUUUGGGGUAUAUUGUGAUGGAGAGUUCAAAUGGGGAUGUGGGUGAGUUAAUUUUUAAUGUUAUUUAGUUUCCCAUGGAAGGACUUUCAGCAGUAAAAACUGGUGCAUUUAUUAUCUUCAUUUUCUGUCGUAUGGUAAGCAUGCAACUUAAUAAAUUGGUAACACAGGAUACAGAGUUCCGAAAUAGGAGUCCAUCUCGAAGGCCAUGAGGAGAGUGUUGUUAAUAGUUCUCAACUGUCAGUAUAAUAAAGGGUUAAAAACUGAUUGGCUGGCAUGACUGGCCUCUCGUUUAUUAAUUUCAGCCCUACUCAUUGGUCCUGUGUCAUUUGCGUAGUCAGGUCUGGUCCAUAUAAUCUAUCAACUUUUGGACUCUAAUUAUGUAUUGGGGUUGAUAUUACAUACUUUUUGGCCUGCUUGGAUGCAUGAAGUGGUUUUUGGUAUAUCUCCAUUGGUUACUCAAAAGGCAUAAUGUGAUAAUUGAUGUCCACUACAGCAUAUUAUAUAAAUUCUCUAAAUCAUUUUUCUUAGAAUAUGAUUACUCUCCUCGUACGGGAAAUGCAUUGCCCCCGAAAAAUCAUGAUUAUUAUGACCUUGCAAUGGCCUACAAUCAAAAUCAAUAUCGCAAUCACAGAGGAAAAUUGCCCAUAUUGCAUAAGUAAGCACUGGAUGAUUUGCUUUGGUUUAUAUUUUUCAUCUUGGACAAUGUUAAUCCUCUGAUUUGGUGCUUCCCAUGUCUGAUCCUUUCUCUGCUGUAUGACUUAUUUUCUUAUUUUAUUCUGCAGAUAUCCUUACAUGACAGUAGUUCUCAAUUUCAGUGCAUAUUGGGCCUUGUACUGUUUAGUCCAUUUCUACACUGCUACCAAGGAUGAGCUUGCACACAUAAAACCGCUGGCGAAGUUUUUGACGUUCAAGUCAAUUGUCUUUUUAACUUGGUGGCAGGGUGUGAUAAUUGCACUACUGUAUACUAUGGGCCUGUUAAGAAGUGCCAUUGCUCAACAGUUAAAAUCAAGUAUUCAAGACUUCAUCAUAUGUAUAGAGGUACAUCAGUUUUCUUAGCAACUACUAAUGGUUUGGAGUUUCUGAAAUGGACUAUUUUUUAUAUAUUUAUGCUCUUUGUUUCAUAUUUUGCCGGCAGUCAUUGUUUCUUAGUCUUACUACUAGACCCAGCAUAUGUUUUAUGGUAUACAUUGUGUCAAAUAAUUAAGUGGCAUAUACUUAAGUUGAUAUAUGAUGAAUUUCUAGCUUCUGAAAAUGUAAUGUCUUCCUCCAGCACAGAUGGGUGUCGCUUCAAUUGUUCACCUCUAUGUGUUCCCUGCGAAGCCGUACGAACUGAUGAGUAAUCGUUUCCCUGGAAAUAUUUCAGUACUUGGAGACUAUGCAUCUAUUGAUUGCCCAGUAGACCCUGAUGAGGUAUGGGAAAGCUCACGUCCUACUAAACUGAGACUUCCCCAGCCUGAUAAUGAUGCGAGUGGUACAAGCAUAAGAGAGAGUGUUCGAGAUGUCGUCCUUGGUGGUGGAAAAUAUGUAAGCUUUCUCCUCCUCCUUUUGAUAAUACAGUCAAAGACACUACUUUAUCUACCUUUUCUUUUGUACAAAUGUGCCAGCCUUUUAGCGCAUUUGGAAAAGGACACUGGGUUCUUGAGCUUUAAUUGUGCUUUAGUAGUUUAUACUUAACUACCUAACCUUAUUGUUGCUUUAGUUUCAUUAGGUUGUGGAAUAUAAUUGUGCUUUAAUAGUUNCUGAAGUAGAGACUAGAAAACUUUCGAUUUUACUACCUAAACUUACAUUGUUUUUCGAUUUUUCAUCAGAACGUUAAUGGAAUAUUCUAUAACCUUAUUGUUGCUUUAGUUUCAUUAGGUUGUGGAAUAUAAUUGUGCUUUAAUAGUUUUUAUAUUGCUACCUAGCCUUAUUAUUAUCUGAUUUCAUUAGGUUAUAGAAUAUUCCAUUAACGUUCUGAUGAAAAAUCGAAAAACAAUGUAAGUUUAGGUAGUAAAAUCGAAAGUUUUCUAGUCUCUACUUCAGGUAUGCUAUAGUUCAGCUAAGAUGCAUUUGUACCUUUUUCUUUUGGUUUUGUUCAGUCAUCAGUAUUUAUCUUUUAUCUUUCUUGUUUGCCUCAUGUGAACCUGUCAUGAUAUUGUAGUGUGUUUGGAAGCUUUCUAUGUUUGAUUUUUGUAAUAAGAGCUUUUAUGGAGUGUCACUUGGUUUAGGGGUGGAGGGCUGCUACACGAUUUGUUAUGUUUCUGCCAUAACCCUGAAACUGAAACUUCUCAGUUUAAGUUCAACUUUAGGGCGGUGCUAUUCCAAAACUCCAUUUAAAAACUUAUCCAUACUGAAACAUCUGUUCCCAAAUUGAGUAGGUUCAUGAAAUUCUUGGUUUUAGAAUGUGUUACCUAAUUGGGUGUACCUAUUUACUCAUUUCUAAAUAUUCACAUCACUUUUUUUUUGUCAUAGUUUGAUACCUUUGAUAGAUAGCAACAGGGUUACCUUUAUUGUUUAUAUGCAUACAUAUAACACUUGAAUGUGCCGGAAUGUCAUGAAAUGAAAGUUCUAUAUGACUCUUGCAGCUCUUUAUGUAUAUCUAAUCAUUUGAAAUUCGAAGACUUUCUGGCCAAUAUUCUGCUGAAAUCAAAACUCUAGGAGCCAGAACUGAAACUGAAAUUGAAACCAAUAUUUUCAACUGUCACGCCCUACCCCAUUAACACAGCGAAAGCUAUGCGUGCCCAUGCACAGACCCACCGAACGGACAAAAUUUUUCCUCUCCGCCCAAGGUGUAAACAAAAUCAGUUCGUCGCAUUUCAUCAGGAAAACAACAUAACACAUUUUGCAUAGAGAGAAUAUCACGAGAGCGAGAUAAAUAAACUAAACUAAUACAACUUAAACAUUCACAUUUAUAUACAUUCAUCCUCUCUAUACAUUUUACAUCAACCUUGGUACUCUGUUCCAUAUCUCUUAUAAGUCUUUUGUGUCUAAUAGAGCCUAACUAGUUCAGCAAGUAUAUAGUUUUGAUCUCCUUUUCUUGCAGGUGAUAAAGGAUUUGAAGUUUACUGUCAACCAAGCAGUAGAGCCCAUGGAGAAGGGUUUCAUUCGAUUCAAUGAGAAGCUUCACAAGAUCUCCCAGAAGGUGAAAAAGCACGACAAGGAUAGGAGAAGCAAGGAUGACAGUUGCAUCACUGCACCGCCGCCAGUACGUGGAAUUGAUGACCCACUUCUGAGUGGGAGCGCAAGUGACAGUGGGGUUGCUAGGGGAAGGAGACACCGGAGAGUAAUAGGCUCGGUUGACGAGGAAAGUUGGGAAGAUCGGAUCGAACAGGUUCAUGGUGAUUAUGAAAUUCGGGGACGCAGAUGGAUUAUGAGGGAUUAGUGAUUCAUUCGUGGAUUAUUAGGUAAGUAGCAAAUGAUUUAUUGUUCCAUGCAAAGUACUAGUUACAUAUUGGAUUAUUGUUUGGACAAUAUUUCUACUCCAAGUUUACAAAUAUUUUCUCUUUGUAUAUAAUUCAAUACAUUCAUGCCCUCUUGAAGUCCCAGCAUUGGAAGGGAGAGAGGUUUUGUGGUGAAUUUCUCUAAUUGAUGUAUGUAUGAAUAUUGUAACAUUUGAAAACCUAUUGUAUAUUCUUUCUCUUGGUUGUUUAACAAUGCUACUGGAUGCUAUUUCCUUUCUUUUUAUUUGUGGUUUUGACAGAAUACAUGACCAGUAUAAUGCUUGUUCUCUAUAUAGCUCGAGAGUUUUACAUGUCAUUUGCCAAGAAGAGACUACAUCUAUUUGAAAGCGACUUGAUAGAUCUUAUAAUAAAUCUGGAUUGUAGGCUUCCAAGUUCCAGCUCAAUGCGUACACACACAUCACUCUAGAAGUGGGGCUCGAACUCCAAACCCAUAGAUUGGAAAGAAGAAGCUAACCAACAAGGCUACAGGUUAGUGUUUCCACUCGUUUCUUUUAUUUAUUUUCGUUCAUAAAACUUAAAAAGAUCAAAUUCUUUCUAUCCUGCAUCAUAUAAAUCAAUCCAUGUGUUUUAUGUCAUUUCUUGAAAACCAGACUCUUUGGCAUGCAGUCCUAGAUAUUUUGAGAAACAUUGGUUUUUUUUUUUUUUUGAGAGAGAGAAAGAUAGCAUAUUAUUGGUUUUGUUUAUUUUUUAAAAAAAAGAAAAACUGAGCUGAAAAUGUGAAGUAAUUAGACUUCGAAUUUGAAAUCUAAGAUAUCAACCACUAAACCUUUUGACACUUGCGUUAUGAAGAGUUGGUUAUAUCCCAAGUUUCUGAUCUUUUUCACUCCUUUCUCGGAAGUUGUUUCCUCCAUAGCAUAUAAAUCACUUGGCAUGAGCUAGGAGGUUUGUGAGGUCGACCCUGCUAACGCUCUCGUAUGGUGAACCGGAGUGUAAAUGCCUUCCAAUUUCCAUCCUUUUGUUUUUGCACUGUACAUUUGUGAAUGAGGACACAGUACUGGACCACUGAAGGUAACAGGACACCGUUUUUUUUAUUAUUAUUUUGAUAUUUUACCGGCCCAUACAUAUAAUAACAUCAAACUCGAAAUAUCUGAGCUGAGAAUCCGCAUAAUGUUUGGGCACAAUAAGUAUGAAGUGUGUAUUGUAGCAGAAAGGGAAGGUAAAAUUAGCAUCUAGGACCCGAAAACAGAAGCUCUUCAAUUUAAUUUCUCUAGCAGUAAGGUACUCUACUAAUCUUACAAGACUAUAUUCGCUUAAUACCGAUAUAUAAAAAAAAAAAAAAAAAAAACACUCAGAUUUUCUGCUUUUGCAAGGCAUCCAUACCCACAAAAGCUUAUUCUCAACCAAAUAAAUCAGAAACCUACCAAACGGAGAACUACAAAAUGCUAUGGUACACCUCUCAUGUCAAACAAAGCAAAUCCCAAUCAAAGCAAUGUGAAUCGAAGUGAGAAACGCCCUCCAAAUCGAACCACGCAAUCCCCGUUCCAGAGAUCCUGCAUCUGUUAGGCCGAAAGGGAACACAACCAAGUACAUCCAUUAAUUCGCCUUAUUUUCUAAAUGAUGAGAACAAUUGAAGCCUAUUAAAUCAGUACUUACUGCUUGAACACUUCGUUUGGUUGGUGACGGGGUUGACGCUAAUGUUGAGUCCAGUGGCAUUCGUGUAGCCGUUGUAGGCGCACGUCGUGACGUUGCAACCGGAAGAGGAUGUACUACCGAGGAAUAAAUUUCCAGGACACUUUGGCACGUCGCAUUCCGAGGAGCUCUUGUUUUGUGCUAUCGAGCAGUUUAACCUAAGUUAUACAAAUGAAUUAUUUAUGAGGACAAAAACUUUGAUUAAAACGAACUGAUUCAUCAAUGUCGACUAAAUGGGGAGUAUAGUUUAGUGCACAAUGUGUGUGACAGAGAGGAAGAGUAGGAGUUCAUACUGGUACGAACUCGAGCUGCAGCUGCAGAAGAUGCAGCCGUUAGCAGUAAGGACGUAACUUCCGUUGGCGAGGCGUAGGUUGCUGUCCAGUGAAUUGCUUCUAAUGGACGACGAACAAGCUGCAAUACGAGAAAGAAUUGGAUAACUUUAAAUGCGUGUUUCGAGUUCUUAGCUAGUUAUUUGCAUUCUAAAAUGUACUUAGCUAUGCACGAUUUUGAAGUAGUACGCUACCUUAAGAACAACUAAUAUAGUUCAUAUGAUGAAGUAGAAAAACUCUGCAAGUUUAUCGAACUUCUUGCUCUUUUCAAACUUGCAUCACAUUCGCUGCAGGGAAAAGAUUAACUCUGAUAGCUUCAAGAGUAUGAUAAUCAAUAUCAUCCAAGCGCAUGAUCCACAAAGUUCAUAAUUUUCUGAUUUUCUUAGCUAAUCUCAAUUAAUUUGGGACCACUAUUCACUUCCAGUAGAAAGUAAGUAUGGUCGUAAUCUAAUAGAAAACGUUGUUCAGAGCAUAGUUAUUUACGGGGAAAGGUCCCCAACACGGGACUACUCCAUCUGCCAAACUUCAUGACUUUGAGAUUUGUGCCAUGAACAUGAAAUUAGGGUUGAGAGGUGCUCACCUCGAAGGGGCACGUCGAGGAUCUGCUCGGCCUGUAGCUUGGAGGGAUCGGCGAUCCCGUUGAUCUCCAUCAGCGUCGCAUUGUCGACCCCAAACUCCUCGGCGAUCCCCUCCACGGUGCUCCCGUGGGGCACCGAGUACCCGAGAUGCACCACCGCCUCACCCCCGACCGGGUCGCAGCUACAGGGGAGCGGGAUCCACAGCUUAUCCCCCACACUGAUCACAUUAGGGUUCGGUAUCUGGUUCGCAUCCGCGAUCUCCUCGUAGGUCACGAACCCGCCGAACACGUUCCGCGCGAUCGCGUCGAGGGUGUCGCCGUUCUUCGACGUGUAGGUCGGGGUCCGGUUCGAUCGCCCCGUCCCGUUGGAGCACGCGCAGGGGAAGGGCACGCGCACGACGCCGCCCGCGGCGACCGGCGCCGCGGCCGGGGUGGAAGGGGGGAGGUCGUUGGCGCCGAGGAGCGCCGCGAGGGUCGAGACCUGGAACAGCGACCGCACGGCGCCGUACGUGGUGGCGUUCGCCGCGACGUAGCCGAUCACUCCCCCGCACUCGGCCACCGCCGUGUGGUUGCACGUGAAGUUCGCCGCCGACGCCGGCGCCGCCACCGCGAGCGCCGCGACGACGACGGCGACGAGGGCGACGACGAUGCGCGGCCCCGAGCUCAUCUUCCUCCUCCUCCUCCUCCGCGUUCGCUAGCUCUUCGUAAUGGUAUGUAUCUUCUACUGCUACUGCUGCUACUACGACCCUAAACCUAUCUCUUCUUCUAAAUUCAUUAUUAAGGGGGUGGAGCCGUGGAGGGGAGAGAGAGAGAGAGAGAGAGAGAGAGAGAGAGAAGAGAAUGUGGAAUGUGGUGUGGACGGGAGUGACUCGUUGACCGUGUUGACUCGUUGACCUGAGAGCCAAUUUAUUUAUUAAUAUGGGACGGAGGGACGCGUGGGACUGAUCGAAUAAUGGCCGUCGGAUGGGUAAGUAGUGGAGAUAAAUGAAGGAGUUUUUUUCUUUUUCUUUUUCUUUUUCUUUUUAAACUUUUAGGUGCCGUGUGGAAGAACAACACUGGGGGUGCAUGUACAUAGAAGAAUGCAAGUGGGAGCGGGGAAAAUGUCGAAAAAGGACGGGGAGUAGUAAGAACUAAGAAGAGAAAUGCUCUUUGCGCAUUCACAAGUAAAUUACAAAUUUAAAAAUAUUUAAAAAAUAAAUUUGAUAAAAUUUAUGUAAAGAAAAUUAGGUCUUUAAAUGAAAAAAAUAUAUAUAAUUUAUAUUUACUUUUGACUAUACAAAACUAGUCGUUUUUGGCGGCAAUGAUGGGAAUUUCUAAGGAUGAGUAGAAACCUGGGGUUUCGAUUUAUUCUUUAAUAAUUGGAGCGAUACAAUGGAUUGGGUAAUUUGGAAAUUGUCUCAGGUCGCUUUUCCUUCGUACACUAUUUAGUGACGUGUAAUCAUCGCAACUUAGAAUAUUCAAUUGGGUUACGCUUCUUCUUCUCCUGGGUUAGAAGAGAUAAGCCAACCUUUAGCCUUCUUGGUUCCCACCACCUGAGUUUUUAGUUUGGACUCUGCCCAACUUGCGUAGGCCGACAUUUUUGGUUCAGCCGUGUCUGUUCUGGGCCAGUUUUACAUUUCAAUUUAUUAUUUCCUUCUUGGGCUUUCAAUUGUUUUCUUUGGGCCUGUGUUUCGUUGGUUGUAGCCCAAUUUGUGAUUGGUACAACUCGGAAUAGGCAGAUAUUCACCAUUAACUAGUAUUAUUAGGAUCGCAUUAUUUGAAGUAGCAGGAAUAAACUCUAAUAAAUAUAUAGAAUUCAAAUUAAGGCUAUGUUUGGAUGUCGAAAUAAGAUAUCUGGUAAUAAUAUAUUCGGCAUAAAUAUUUUAUUGUGUGAUUAGAAGCCAAAAGUUUGAUUUUUUCUUUUUUACUUUUUAAAAAGUCUUGGUAUUCUUCAUGAUUUUGUAGGAUAUAUAUAUAUAUAUAUAUAUAUAUAUUUANUCCAAAUAUUUGAUCAUACAGUCCUCAUUUAUCAAAUACUAAGCUUAAUGGUCGGACAUAACAAUGAAUGGGUUAAAACAUUAGGAUUUAUAAGUCAACAAAAGCAAUAAGAAUUAGAUAGCAAAAAGCAAAUUUCUUGUUUGGUUGGGGGUUAAGGGGUUAUUCCACCCCUUAACCCCUCCACCCCUUAACCCCCAUUUUAUCCCCAAACACUCCAAAAAAUAAAUGGGGUUAGCUAACCCCACCUCAAAUAAAUUAUUCCUGAUUAGCUAAUCCCACCUAACCUCACCAAACUCCAACCAAACACUAUUUUAUAUUCAUAAUAACUCGCAAUCUUUCUUAUCACACCUACUCCAACCAAUCAUUAUCCUUCUUUAUCAAUUAUUAUCUUCUUAUCCCACCUACUCCAGCCAAACACUAUUUUUCAUUAUUCUAGACUAACUCCAAUCCCCAACCAAACACAAAAAAAUUUUAACCCCACUUUAACCCUGAACUUAACCCUAUUCCUGGAAUAGCUACUUUUUCCUUAACCCCGAACCAAACGGAGGCGUAGAAUUCAGGGUUAUUUCGGAAAGCUGUGUAGUUCAUGUAAAAACUCAACAUGUUCCACACUCGUCGGACUGUGUAUGGGCCAGGUUUUGACAUAAGCUCGACCCAAACCCCGUUAGCGUUCGGGUUUGGAUCAAAUGUUGAAUCCAGUUUAGAUCGGUGGCAGACCACAAUACAAUCCGAUCCGACCCGAAGCACGACCCACUUUCAUGGCCCAGAUAUUUAUGUGGAUUGGAUCAGCAGGGAACCUGGUGAGUCGAUCCACCAUAUGCAUAGGCUUGUUUCUUUGUCCAUAAUUAUGCAAGGACAUAUAAUAUCUACAUAAAAUAUUAAAGGCUGAAAUAUAUCUAUCUUAUAUUCGGACCGAAUCAGUAACAUGUCCUAUGGAUCCUUGAAUAGUUUGUGUGGAUCAUUAGGCUUUAGAAUUCGUAAUACAUAGAUGAGAUCCUUUUUGGCGCAUAAAUUGAUUGGAAUGGUACCACGACGUCUCAAUCAAAGAUGAGGUUGGAGCUCUCAUAAUACAUCAAUUAGGCCAAUGACGUGAACGUUCCUUUUAUUGGUGUUCACCUCACCUGAGAAGGACUUGUAGCUGGAAAAGAAGAGUCGUACCACUCAAAAAUCAAAAGCCUAGUGUUAAAGUUACUUAGCUAGGAAACCAGUGUCCGAUCAAUCUUUCAGAUAGUAUAAUAUUACGAGAUGAUCUGAAAUAUUAUUAGUAGCAAAUAUACUAUGUUGUCAUCUAUUUAUUUUCGAUCACAAAAUUUUCAAAUCGAGGAUCGGUAUGUUGAACGUGAUUUAUACCAUUUGAAGCAUCUAAAAUUAAAUUUUUAUGAUUUUUCGGUAUUAUCUUUUUGUCCAUCAAGUGAACACAAAAAUGAACGACUGAAAAUAAAUAUACUUUAAAAAGUGAUGAUAUGAAUUUUGUAAUCAGAAUCAAGUGUAUAGAUCUUAUUUUAAAUAGUUUUUUUUUAAAAAAUUUAAUCAAAAUUCAAUUGAUUUAAAUUUUUUUACACUAUUAAACGAGAAAACGUCUCAUAUUGAUAAUUAAAAUUAUAAAAUUUGAAAUCUUUUGAUCAUUAGGCCAAUAAUAUCGAAAAGAUAUGAAUUUUGAUUUGUAAAUGCUUCAAAUGGUAUAAAAUUAUGUUCAACGGUACCGAUCGUCAAUUUGAAGACUUCAUCAUCGAAAACAAAUCGGGUGUAAAAAAGCCCGUUUGCUAUUGAUAGCAUUCAAGCUCAACUCAUAAUAUUACAACUAAUUCAAAUUCCUGCUGUUUC